rnacentral:lncRNA from 1 species
UUUUUUUUUUUUUUUGUGUGGGUGGGAGUGGGAGGGAGUAUUCCUAUAGUUGAAAAAAAUACUAUAAUAUUGAUAUUGAAUUGGAAUUAAAAAUAGUAAUUAAAUUAUCAUAAACACUGUGUUAUGGAAGCAAUUUCCAUCUGACUUCGAUGCAAAACAUUAAGGUCGGUCAGUCUCUAAAUUUCCACAAACUCUUUCAAGCACGCACUCAUGGUUGAAAGUAGUGCCCAGAAGUUCACAAAGACUAGGAAGUAAAAGAGGGAUAAAGUAUAUGAGACAGAAAGCCAACAAAAGGGAUAAAAAUUUCUUUAUGUGAAUAUGUUGUCUUAUUAGGAGAAGACAACAUAUAUAUAUAAGUGUAGGAAUUGCAUGUUUUGGUGAGGAAAUAAAUGAGAUAUCCGUUGAGAAUGAAUUUGUACAUAAUUCUCAUCAGCACAAUUAAUUCGAUAGAAUGAAUAUGAAAUUUUACUUUGCAUAUUCAUCUGCACAAUCAAUUUAUGUGAAAACGCUAACAAUCGUUCGUAUAUGUAAAGGAAAGAUGAUAGGAAUAAUUUCUAGGCAAAAGAAAGGAACAUGUACUUCAGCAUUAUUAAUAUAUUUUGAUAAGAAUUGACACGUAGUGAAAUGAGCCAACAACAAAUAUUCAUCAAGUGAAAUACUCUUGAACUAAAUGAACAUAAGUUGAGACCUCCAUAACACAUAUCAUAUUCUUGAUUUUAUACAAAUUCCACGAUACUAACAAAUUAAAGUGUUUUUAUGGUCAUGCACACAUACCUUGGAUCUUAUGAAUGCUCUAGAAAGACGACUCUCAAGUCUUUCAUAAAAGGCGACCAUUUCUUUGCACUCAACAUAGGUGAUUCCCUCAAGUGUAUCUCAAAUAGACCACCUGAAGGCAAUAGAAUCAUUAGGAGCAAAGCAAGAUCAAUCUUAUAAAACACUACCUCACGUCAUAGGAAUUAAAAAUAAAAAAAGGUGUAUAUUGAGGCCUAAUGGGUCCACCACACUACCUCAAUUAAUGGGUUUUAGCCCCAUUCCCCUCGACGUUUUAAGGAUCAUUUUCCAUGUCAAAUCCUUGGUUAAAGGAUGCACUAAAUUUCUAUCAGACCUUACAUAUUUCAAGUAAAUAACAUUAUGUUUCAACAACUGUUUAAUUACAUCAUAUUUCUUUUCCAAACUAUUCCAUAUUUCCUUAGUAGAUUUAUAAGUAACAAAUAAAUCAAAUAAAGAAUCAGUAUAAUUUUGUAACCUUUUUUGUUGUUGUUGUAUAGAACUCAGAGUCAAGCCUGUAAUCUUCUUAUCGAAAAUUGACAAAAAUACAAAGAGAAAACAAUAAAUUUGUACCAAUCACGAAACAAUAAAUUCACCAAGGCCAAGUUGCUUUCGAUGAACUCAUUUAUUAAUGUACAUUGUUUAGAUUUGUCCCCCAAAAGUAUCUGUGUGGAGUAGCAUGUUACGUUGUUGUAUAUAUCUAACUAAGUCUGCCAUAUCUGUUAUAAAUUUUACCAAAAAAAUGGAUCAGCAGGUUGGUUAUUUUUCCAAUUGUGUUUGUUUCCUUAUUUAGUUAAACAUAGCUAUUAUAUUUACAAAUACAUAAUUAUAAUAUUUAAAUAUCAUCAAACAUAACAAUAAUUAAGGUUUUAUAACAAAUUCCUAAAAAGGAAAAGAAAAAGUAAACACGACUCCCACCAUCAUUCCCCCCACCCCCCAAUCUAUUUUCUCUCCUUCCAGCGGAUCCAGAACUGUCACUAGGACGACCUCAAGGAAUUUUCCUUGACGCUUUAUUCACUAGGUUAAGUGCAAAAUUUAAAGGUUUUUCCUAUACAAGAUUCUUAACAUAUACUUUUCAAAGGAAUUAAUGUAUUUUUACUAACACUUUAUUUUCCUAUUAUAAGCUAGUCCAAGGAGAUGGGACAUAUAGUCUAAACUCUCAAUUUUGACUGAUUGCUCUCUGGAAUAGAACACACGAUCUCAAGCAAUUUUUGCAGUUCAUUAACCACUAUAUUAAAUCUUCAACUUGUGUUAAGAUAUAUAUAUAUAUAUAUAUAUAUAUAUAUUUAUUAAAUUAAAAUUAAACCUCGAUAUAUAAUAUAUAAUAUAAUUUUCCGACUUGGUCAAUAUAAUUGUCAGAUCUAUUUGAAGAAUUUAGUAAUUUUUAAAGUUGUAUCUAGAUUUUUUAGGGGUUGCAUCAGUAUCUAGAAUUGAGUGUUUUGUUAAUCUCUCCUAAUAAGUAUUGUAUCUAAAAAUGUUUUUGGGUUAUAACAGUGUAUCUAGUAAAAUUGAGAAAGUGUAUAUAACAAAAUUGAGUGCUUAGUUGAUUACUCGAAUUGAAUGUUGUAUAUGAUAUAGAGUGACAUGCUCCAAAAUCACUGUAUCUAGCAAAAUGAGAAAAUAUUGAUACAACUAGAUUGAACGAAUAAUAUAGUGUAUCCAAUUAAAUUAAGUUAACAACACAACAAAAUUGUUGUAUUAGUAAUACAAUGCGAAUUUCAAGAGAUUAUAUAUGAGAUACAAUACGAAUUUCAGACUUGUUGUCACGCAUCGUAAUUAUCAAAAGUGUUACUAUGUAUGGUAAAAUCAACACCAAAGUAGCGCUAUUUGUGAAAUUCCUCUAAUAAAAUCAACCCCCCAAACUUCCCCUUCCUCAACCCCUUUAAUUCAACUGGCUUAAUUCCGUUUAAUUUAUUGGUAAACUAGACCAACUUAUAAAUUGACAAUUGACUCAAAAUUUUCUAAAAUUCAGAAAAUAACAAUGAACCUAAAUAACUUAUUAAAAUGGGAUAGAGUACUUUCAAACAAUUUAUAUUUUGUUCCAACAGCUAAACAAAUAAAUGAAAACCUUAACUAUUUGCUAUAUCAACGGGUUUUGACCACUGAUAAUUUUUGAACUAGUAAAUGAAGUCAUGAUUCACGUUGUAUUAUAUAAAAAGUAGGCAGAAGUUUUGGAUUCGAAGAUAAAGAAUAUCUGAAUAUGUUACUACCACUAAAAAAAAGCAGAUUUAUAUAAACUUAUGUCUCAAUUUACGUGAAAUUCAUUUUUAGUCAGUUUUUAAAAAAUAUACUUUUUCCGUCUCAUUUUAUGUGACACUUUUCGGAUUUCGAGAUUCAAACAAGUUUAAUUUUAACCGUAAAUUUUUUGUAGAUCUUUUAAACAUUUUGAAUUAUCAAUUGUUGUGAUUUCUAGUACUUUUUAUGUAGUUUACAAAUAUAUAAAUUUCAUUUCAAAAAAAUUGAAGAUUUCAUGCGCAAAUUCCCGGUCAAACUUAAACUGUUUAACUCUCGAAAAAUAAAAAGUGCCACAUAAAUUGGGACAGAGGGAGUACUAUUUUUUUAUAUUUAGUAUUUUCUCUGUCCUAAUUUGACAUCUUUUGAAUUUUGGAGAUUCAAACAAGUUUAUCUUUGAUCGUAAAAUUUUCAUACAUUUUUAAAUAUGUUGAAUUGUCAAUUAUUGUAACUUAUACUCCCUCUGCCCCAUUUUAUGUGAGGUAGUUUGACUCGAUACGGAGUUUAAGAAAUAAAUGAAGACUUUUAAAACUUGUGAUCCAAAAUGAAUGAUAGAAAUGUGUGUGGCUGUAAAUCAUAUCAUUAAUGGUAAAAUAGACAUCUUAUAGUUAAAUUGUUACUUAAUAUAAAAAUGUGUCAUUCUUUUUGGAACUCACUAAAAAGGAAAGUAAAUCACAUAAAUUGGAAGAGUAAUACUUUUUACAUAGUUUACAAAUUUAUAAAUUUCAGUUCAAAAAACUGAAGAUACCAUGCGCAAAUUCCUAAUAAACUUAAAUUGUUUGACUAUCAGAAAUAAAAAAUAUCACAUGGAUUACAAAGAGAGUAACAAUUUGAUUUUAAACUGUUCAUUUCACCCUUAUAAGAUGAUCUAUGACACACAAACAUUUUUUAGACCAUAAAUUUUAAUUUUUUUUCUUUAAUUAAACAAUAUCACAUAAAUUGAUCUAUAUAGACGCACAAACAUUUUUAGAUCAUAAAUUUUAAAUUUUUUUAAAAUUAAAUAACUUCACAUAAAUUGAAACUAAAAAAGUGAUUGACUUGAAAACGCACAUGAGAGAAAAAAUGGGAGGAAAAAAAAACACUUUGGUAGACAACAGGCAAGUGGAGCAGUGGAUAAAUAAACAAGCCCCAAGUAAUAAGUAUACAAAGCUGGCCGGCCAGAGACACUCCGCUCCCUCGAUACCUAGCAACCCGCAUUAUCUUUUCUAAUUAGACUCGUAGUUGUGAGACAAAUUCAAAAUUUAUAUUUAAUGAAUUAUAUCUUUAUAAUUUUAUUAUUAUAGUGCUUUUCUGUAGUUUCAAAUGUGUAUAAUUUAUUUUUAAAAAUAUAAAUACUUCAUGUCCAAACUCACAAUUAAAUUUAAAAAUUCAAUUCUCGAUAUUCAAUACUUGAUAGUGGCACAUCAUUGAGACAGAUGGAGUAUUUUUUUUUUGAAACUAUCUAAAAAGAAAAACAGAUAAAUAUGACUAUAUUAUAUCUACACUAUAUAAUUCGAGUCUUAAACAAGAAUUUGAGCUACGUUAAUUUGCUAGUUUUACAUUCAUCAAAAUCAAAUAGUCUAUAUAUAAUUUGAGUGAUAUAUAGUUGAAUUGGUUCUUUUGCUCCAUAGGUUUUUUUUUAUAGAUUACACUUAUAAAUGUUGCCUAAAUUCUUAAUUAUGCAUUUGAGAAAAAGUGUGAAUAUUGCAAGUCCUAAAAAUAAAAAGGCUCUGUCUAAGUUUACCUUUUGCCGUCUCUUGUUCACAUGAAGAGCUAAUUUAUGGCAAUAAUUCACAGACCCUAGCUAAUAGUUAAUUAUUAUAAUGCAUUUAGCUUAGGGUUGGCAAUAAUCACAUAUACUUUAUCUAUUACGCAGAUCAUCAUAGGCUCCAAAUCCUAUUUUCCUUGACCCCUAAUUUUAAAAAGUAAGAGAAGAAUUAAUUGAUAUUCCUAAGAGAAUGUGAGAUAACCAUCAUUAUCGUUGUUAUAUAUCAAGCCGUAAAUAAAAUCGAGUAAAAACCACUACAAGAAAAGUGUGAAUUACAUGGAAUUUUCCUGGAGAUUAGUAUUCUGUAGACAACUUAUUUUCCUACAAAUUUUCAUACUAAUCCCCAGAAAAAUCCCCAUGUAAUUUACACUUUUCUUGUAGUGACCUAAAAGAUAUUAUGCACAAAAAUUUAGAAACAUGUGAAGUGAUUUAAACUUGUUUCAAGUAAACGAAGAUAUCAAAAUAAAACACCUCUAUGGCAUAUAUAUAUAAAAGAAAUCAUAUGUGAUAUACAUAAUAGAAAAUAUAACGGUUUGUCAAUUGUCAUAGACAUCAUUACAACACGAGUAUAUCAUAUUUUCUAUUAUGUAUAUCACAUAUGACUUCUUUUAUAUAUAUAUAUAAAAGGAUAUACUCGGUAUACAGUGGAGAUAUACAGAUAAAAAUCCUUUUUAGUUUGAAACUCAACUCAAAUCCAUCUCAAAUCACCUUCGAAAUUGUUACCUUUAAGACGUUCCCAACAAAAAAUUUAAAUUUUGUUUAGAAAAAGUUAGCAAAAGGGCCGUGAGUGAAAAAGAGAAAAGAAUCUACAUAGGGAGGAAUUUUUUUAGAAGAAAGUCUAAUUGGAAUAAAAAGAAAAAGGAAAAACAGAAGAGUUGGUAAUAAAUACAAAAAUAAUAUCAUGAGAGGGAGGCAAAACAAAUCAAUAAGAAAAACUACAAUAAAAAUUAUCUUAGGAUAAAAGAAAAAGAUUUUUUUUUAUAAAAUCUUGUUUACUAGCAAAAGGAUCGCGAGUGAAAGAGAAAAAGGACAAUCUACAUAGGGAGGAAAUUUUUUAAAAGAAAGUUCGAUUGGAGUAAAUUAAAAAAGAAGAAGAGAAGAGUUGGUUUUAAAAUAAAAUAAUAAUAUGAUGAGAGGGUAUCAAACUCAGGCAUAGAAACGAAUCAAUCGAACGACUUUGAUCACUCACAUACAAGUUACAACCAUAGUAUCAAUUAAAUAAUUUAUUACAUGGAUACUCUUUUUUUUAUUUUUUUUAUUACAUGGAUACUCACCUUUAAUUUUAUAAGUUUUUUUUAACUUCUAUAUAAAUAUAUACUAUAAUUUAAUAUGAGGUUAGUAAAUGCUGGAAUGGUCAGAAGGCGUAAUGUGAAUGAUCUUAAUGAUAAUAAUAGCUUAAAAAAAUUCAUAAUCAUCAUCUCAUUAAUAAAGGUAUUUCAAAUCAUUAUUUAAAAGUUUUAAAACCAUGACCAAAGCCAUUGAAUAAUGUUUCAAAUCAAUAGCUCAUUCAUUAGAGAAAAAACAUGUUGAUAGUCAUUACUUCAAAUUCACCCCAACAAAUUUCACUAAUGGAAAAAAAUAUGUUCCUACGAACAAUGUUUUCAAAAUAUAGAAAAAUUUAAAAGAAAUAUUUUCUUCCGUAUCGAACACGCCCUUAAUUUCAUGCAUUUUAAUUUUGGGAGAAGGUCAUGGUUUUGCAUGCACGCUACAUAACUGUGACCUUUAUAGUUGCUAGAGUUUAGGUUGGUUCACAUAUAUAUAUUUAGCAUAGUCUCCAACAAAAACAAAUUUGCACAUGGAAGAUUAUCUUACAAAUAAGGAAAACAAUUUGAUUGAAUCAAGAAAGCAGAAUUUAUAAUAUUUUAUUGUACAUGUAGUAGUUUAUAGAAAGUGAAUACCAGCGUUAACUUGUUGUAAUCUAAACCUUACUCAAAUAAGUAAUAACCAAACUACAAAAUUACGUUAACUCAUAGUAAUGAGCUAGUGUACUUUGAGUAAAAUUGUUACGUGCGUAUAUCUUUCUUUUAGGAAAACGUUUAUAUAAUAGGAAAAGGAGUAAUUAAAACAAGUACAAAGGGGAAAAGAAGAAAAAGGUAAAUGAUUGAGCUAUUGGAUAGCUUUCUAUACUAUAUGAAAGGGCAAACAAGAACUAAAAGAAAGUAAAGUGAAGUACACAAAAAUAAUUAUAAUAAUAAAUAAUUGUUACUUAUUACUACUUUACUAUUAAUAAAUAAAUUAAAUGAUUGUAAUGUUUGGUAAAUGUUUAUGGUCUUAUUAUUUAGAUUAGAUCUUUGGAUUUUUAGGUGCAACUUACAAAGCAAUACAUACAGAACAUAAUAAAUUAGUAGUUUUAGAGUCAAAUGUUGUAGUAAUAAUUUUUUCAAAUGUUCUCUAAUAUUUUAAAUAGUUAACUAGUGUGAUUACUUACGGUACUUUUAUAAUUUCUAAAUAGGUAAAAUUUAUUUUUAAAAAUAAUGAAGAUUUUAUAUCCGAAUUCAUACCGAACAUAAUUAAUUUGAUCCUCGUAUUCCAAAUGAUCACAACAAUCAUUUUAGGGUGAAGGGAGUACUAAGAGGUCGUUUGGUAGAUGGUUUAGAGAUGAAUUAUGCAUAAAUAAUAUAUAUCAAGUUUGCUAGCUGAUUAGGAGCUAAGUUAUUCUUGUAUAUAUAAAAUUAAUACGGUAUAUGACUUACAAUUUAAUUAGAAAUUCGCACAACUAAUACAUGUAUAAGUUAUAUAUGGAAGAAUUCAUGUAUAAUUUGAGAAGGGUAAAGAUGAAAUAAGUAAUACAUGAAUAACGAAAUCCUGCAUAAUUAAUCAUUGCAUAACAUAAUACAUAAAUUUCCUCAUAACGAAGAAUAUUAGCAAGUCAUGCAUUAUUCUAAUCAGUUAUUAAACGACUCCUAAUCAUAUAAAGAUAUUUUAAGCUUUAUUAAUAUAAGUUAAAUCUAUAAUGGAAAAGAGGGCAAAUAUACCACUCAACUUUGAGAUUUAGAGCAGAAUAUAACCCUCGUUAAAAAAUGGUGUGUAUACAUAUUCAUGUCGUCUAACAAAUGAUACAUUUUUACCCUUUUUCGUUAACAUAUCUAUAUUUACUUAAUUAAAACGAAAAUAUACUAGUUUUUUAAUUUCAAAAAUGUCACUUGGUUUUCAAACCUUAUCUCACUGCUUUUUUACACCUCUAGUCCCGAUGCAAAUAAAAAAAAACAUUUUUUCUUCUUACUCAGUCAUAAAAUAAUUUAAAUCGAGUUUGAAUAGAUAAAGAAUUGUGCUUUUUUCAAUUGGAUUGGGUUUGGGUGUGUUAAAAAAUGGAUAAGGUAACAUUGUUAAAUCAAGUGACAUUUUAGGAAUCUAAAACUACUUUUAAGGAUUUAAAAAAAAAAAUUAGUUUGUUAACGAAAACAAAAAAAAACAUACAUCUAUUAAACGAUGAAAACAUAUAUGCAUUAUUGAUUAAACGAUAAAGAUAUACACAUAUCAUUUUAGCUAAUGAUAAUAUAUCUAUUUUAAAUAGCAAAAAUCAAAAUAUAUAUCCCCCCUAAAUACCAAUCUCUAUAUAAAAUAAUAACGCCUCUAAAACAUGCAAGUGCAACUAGCUAGAAAUUACUAGAAUUAGCUAAUUUUAUUUUACUAUAUGUGGCUGAACAUGUGAUUCUGAUAAUUUUGAUUUCAUAUGAGAUAGUGGACGUAGUCACGCAAGAAAUUAAAGCAGAAUAUAUAAUGGAAUUGUCAUCAUGUUUUUUCUUAUUAUAUCAAAGUCUCUCGUGACUGAUCUAUUCAAUUCAGCCUGCGAUGGAUGGAGUGACUUUGCCUUUGCCUUUUGCAUGCAAAUUGAAACACCUAUCUAAUCAUCCUAUCUCCCUAUGCAUCUAUUCAUCAUCACUACUCUUAAUAAAAGCCUGCAAAUUUUAAACUAACUUGGACCAUCAUAUAAUAACCAUCAAACUAUGGAGUAGCAUUUUUGUUUUCCUCAUUUUUUACUUUCUUUUUUUUUCCCUAAAAAUAUUGUUAUACUCUAUAAUCAAAUAUAUUAGGAUUAUUUUAGUAUAGUUUUCUUUGUCAUCUGAUUAAUCGCUUCUAUAACUUGUAGUAUUACUAAUUUUCAUAUGUUGCUUUUCAAUCUUAGCAAAUGACAUUUGAGCUGAUGAUUCUAUGGUUCAGGUUCAACGAGGUCAAAAAACUUGGUCUAAUGUGGUUUCAAAUAAAUUGCAAACAAUUUGAUGAUAAUAAUGAUUAUAUGUAGCUACCUUAUGGAAUUUUUUUUAUUGAAAGUACCUUUGAAUUUGACGUAAAUUAUUAGUUUUAUCUCUGGAAUAUUGACCGCCUUAAAAGCACUCGAUUUGCCACAUAACAUAACAAGUGAUCUCAAACCCUUGUACGAGUAUAGUGCUCUUUAUAAAAAUCCAAAAAAAAUUGUUGAAAACACUCCAAAACUUGGCAAGAAUGUAAGAUUGUAUUUCACGACCUCAUAUUACAAGAUCAGAGUUGUAUUUGAAUUCAAUUAAUUAAAUAAAGAGAUAAUUUUAAAAAUAUCAAUUUAAGAAUAAAACUAAUAACUCACGCUGAAUUUAUGAGAUUUCAAUAGUCCGUCUAAUAACAAAAUCCAAUUAUAACAUUGAACAUUCUUGUUGCUAUGGAAGCUAUACCUACCUAGGUAUCUAUGUUAAUAAAAGGCUGCAAAUUUUAUAGUGAGAUGGACCAUCAUAUAAUAACCAUCAAAUUAAACCAUCUGUCACCAAAUCAAAGUAGUACGUAGUGGGUAGGUGGGGGUGGAGGAGGUUCUUAACUUUCACAAAAUUGGCACAAACCGUUAGGAAAAUGAAGAAUGACAAGUAAUAUUUUGGAAUAUAUAGCUAUUCUUUUGGUGUUAGAGCUACUCAUAUAUACUUACUUGUAGGCCGGCGACUCUCCUUUUCACAUGACUACGUAGGUUGCAAUCUCUGCACCCUUUGUCCCUUUCUUGUUUUUCUUUGUCUUUUAAUUUCAAUAUUCACUCAAAUAUGAUACAUAUAAUAGUGUCUCGAAAACAAGCUACAAUAUAUAUAUAAAAGGUGUUACAUAUUAAUAUGCAUCAUAUAUAUGCAUUGCCACAUUGUGCAACAACUUCUUCUGUCUGUUGGUGGGUAUUAUAUUAUAUGCCCUUAUUUCAUGUUCUCAUUUAGAGAGCCUCAUUAAUUAUGUUAACAUAAAGUCUUAUGUUAGUGGUUACAAUUGUUGGCUAUAAUGUUACAUUUAGCAGCAUAUAUAAAAGUGCUAAAUGUAAUAUUAUUGUCCGAAGUUUUGAACUCUAAUUUUUGUUCAGACUUUAUUGAGUUAUAUAUUGUAAGUGGACUUUUGUAUUUUGAAAGAGACAAGUGAAAAAGAUUAUUGUUGGACCAAUAAAAAAUAUUACUCCAUUGGAACACCCAAAUUACACAUUCGAAAACAAGUAUAAAUCAAUUGAUCCCAUAUUGUUUUAAGAAUAAUUUAAAUUAUUUUUUCACUUUUAUUAGACGAUGAAAAAGAUUAUAUUUAAGUCAUUUAUAUAACGAUAAAGAAAUACCUGAGAUUGUGUAACAAUAAAAAUAUAUAAACUAAUUUUUUAACAAAUGAUAUAGUAUCACUUUUAAAUCGCAAAAUUUAAAAACAGAGAAGGGCCUAAAAUGCCCCUCAAGUAUUUGAAUUGGUACAAAAUUACCCUCCAUCCACCUAUCGGCCCUAAAAUACCCCUGAGGCCCUGACGUCCACCUUUCGGCUAAAAAAUACCCUUAUGUCUAACGGAUCAUACUCAUUAGGUGGAUGGAGGGUAAUAUUGUACCAAAUCUCAUAGUUUAAGGGCAUUUUAAGCCCUUUUCUGUUUAAAUAAUUUGAAAUUAUUUAAUAUAUAAGCUCACAUGAUUGACUUGAUUUUGAAUUUCAUAGUAAAUUUAAAGUUAUAAAAAGGUUAGACAUCUACUCUCUACACUUCUCCCUCCCCAACCCUUCACUUCCUAUCUCUUCCAAAAAAAUUUCUAUUUCGAUCUUGUCCGCCAUUUCGAUUAGUCGAGGUAAGUAUAGAGUUUAGUUGGAUCCUCAUUUAUGAGUUGGGUUACAUUAUAAUAAAUUGGGGUUGAUUUAAAAUAGGCCAAUAGAAGAUAUCAUGAAAUUAAUUAUUUUUUCAAUAUUAUUUUCAAGUGUAUCGGGUCAAAAUUCGAAUCAUAAGUGGUAUUAUAGAAAAAUAGAAUUUCUAAAAAUAUCAUUUUUAUUAUUUAUUUGAGAAUGAUUUAAAUUUGGACCAAUCACAUUAAGCAAUAUAAUAAAUAAAUAUUUAAUAAUUUUACUUUAAAGAAGCCAUUAAAAAUAAGGGCAAAUCUGAGUCAAAGGAUUAACAUCGAGGGUAUUUUUGAGCCGAAGGGUGGACGUCAGGGAUAUUUUAGGGCCGAUAGGUGGAUGAAGGGUAAUUUUAUACCAAUUCAAAUACUUGAGGGGCAUUUUAGACCCUUCAAGUCCUUUUCUCUCUCUCUAUAUAUAUAUUUUAUUUAUUUUUCUUUUUUCCGAAGCAUAAAGUGCAUUACUUCAUAAGUAUUAAAAGUCCUUCCCGUCCCUUGUAUAAAAGGAACAAUACACAGUCUCUUCAAAUUUACGUAUCAAAAAAUAAGAAUUAAUUAUUCCUUCCGUUUACUUUUGCUUGUUUAUAUAUAUUUUUUAAAAUCGCCCAACAAAGUUUUUACCAAAAGCACAGAUGUUUUGUUGGGCCCUAAGCAUGAAAGUGCACUACAUCAUAUUUGAAAUCCUUGCCGUCCCUUCUAAAAUAAAAAUAAAAGGAGCAAUAUACCCUCUUCUAAUUUUUUUUCCAUAUAUACUGUUAAUAUUAAAUAACUAUAUAAAAUAUUAUGUCAAAUAUAGAGUUCAAAAAUAUCAUAUUGAUUCGGACAUGCCAAAUGAAUAUGCAGUAAUGUAAAUUUUAAUUAAUAAUAUGAUGAUAACAUCCCUCGUGGCCUUUAUUAUUAUGAAACUUGUUUUGUUAGAAAUCUUUUUUUCUUUUUUUUUUGUAACAAUGGUAAGGCAUCAAAAGCCGGCCGUGGGAUUUGAAUACAUCAUAAAUAAAAUAGUUUAUGCAUAAGAGAGGAAAUAAUUAACAACUAAAAAGUAAAAACCAUCUAAAGGUCAACCAUAAUAAUAAUUUUAAGAAAAAAUGCGACUAUCAAACGUAAGAUUGUAGAUGAAUUAUAACAAUCAUCAAUGCUGAAGUAUCUAGGUCUCAAUGAAUUAGCUAUUGGUAUAAAUGCUUUCUAGAGUAACCCCUUUAUUUAUUAUCUUGCUUUUUAUCGUUCCCGUUAAUUUUCAUUAGUAUGAAUUUAGGAAUAAUGAAAAAUUAUUUUUUAAUUAUAUCAACCAAAUCGAUUCGAAAGGUAGAAAUCAACAAAAGAAAAAGUAAGUGGACAUGACAUAUUGAAUCAUGAGUUUAAGUUUUGUGCAUCGUCAGUGUACAAAAUUUUCUACACCAUCAGUUACUUUUAAUGAGAUUUAACCAUAGUAUUAAUAAAAUAACAUUUAACUAAAAAAAAAAACAAUACAACAAAGGUAGUUGAAUCAGACUUGGAUUCUAACCAAAAUUAUUUUCAUAACUAAAUUAUUUUCUUCCAAAGUACGUCACUUUCUUCCCAGGGAACUUCAACUCCUAUAUUUUGCUCAUCUACGUUUAACUUUUCCAUUAAUCUUGCAAAAUACAAUUAUAAAUGUUAGAUAGCUUACAAUUAAUUAUAAAUCUGAUCAUAUAAAUAGUCAACAUGUUUAGUAAAAUAUAUUUAAUAUUAGUGAAAGUUCAAUAAAUAAACUCCUUCCCAAUAAUCUAAAGAGCAGAGCUUAAGUAUUGGGGACAAUAUGAAGACACUUUAAGAUACAAUAUUCACCUUUCAGGAGACUAUGUUCACUUGUUUUUAGUGCAUUGAAAUUCUUCUGCUCGUGAAGAUAUGUUUAAAAGGGCUUUUUUUAUGUUUCUAAAUGAGAAAAAUGUGAAAUUUGUUCUAAUUGCAUGACGAUAUAUCACUAAGUAGAAGAAGCGUGUCAAGUUUCAAAAUUGUUUGACACUUUAAAAAUUAUUUCUUACCGGUUGUUGGUUGACAAUGUUUGAUGUUGUGAAAAAGUUUGAUGCUGUGAAGAAUUACUUGAGCUAUAGAAAAAAGUGAAAAACCUACGAUAAACAUAGUAAUUGUAAUUAACUUUGAAAAAAAAAUUUAAUUAUGGAAAUAAUUUUGGUUAGAAUCCAAGUAUGAUUCAACUACCUGUUGAUGUUCUUUUUUUCCAGUAAAUUGUUGAUUUUCUUUUUUCAUGAAUUAUGGUUAUUUUAUUAAAGUAAGUUACUAUGGUUAAAUCUCAUUAAAAGGAACUGAUGAUGGUGUAGAAAUUUUUUUACACCGACGAUGCACAAAACUUAAACUCUUGAAUCAUAACUCUUUUCUAUCCGAUAAGAAGGGUAGUAGCACAAAAUUUAUUUCUAAGGAAUUGCCCCAUAGAUCCUAUAUAUAUCUAUAUAAGAAGAAUUCAUGUAACGAAGGAGAUUCUUAUUUGUACAAAUGAUACUUUGAGUUUGGAACGAGCAUGAAGAGAUUAACGAUACUUCUUUAAUUAGUUGAAAAUGAAUUAUUAAAAUAAAUCAAUUAUAAAAUAGUAGUAACUAAUGAUUUCGCAUCUAAAAAAGCUAGAAAACUAGAUUUUAAAAUAUGAUGAAAAAUAAAAUAUUAGGGCCCCUCUCUUAAGUUUCGCUUUAGGCCUCCAAUCUUAUUGAGUCGGCCCUGGCCCUGAUCAUAUGUUAAUAAUUUUUUUUAUUUAUUUUGUUAAUUUAUUUCAUUAUAGAAUAUUAUUAACUUACAUACUUAAUUAUUAGUAUUUCUCACUUUUCUUUCCUCUUGAAAAUAAUAUUUAUUCUUUCUAUUGAGAAUUCAUUACAUAAAUUAAAAACAAAAAAAUAUCAUGAUGUUAAAGAAGUAAAAUAUAUAAAAGACAAACGCCAAUAAUGUAAGGAAAAUAUCGACAUUUAAAAAAGCCGACUUAGAAUAAUGGAGAGAAAAUUUUAACUAUUCAAAAUUGGAGGAAGAAGUUUAAUUUAUUAAGUAAAGUUGGAGGCCGGAUGCGAUUUAGGCCCUAUAUAAUAAAAAUAAGCACAAGACACAUCACACGUUAAAAUAUACAAUUUAAUAUCGGUAACAUAAUUGCUUGAUUGUGUAAUUGAAAAUUUAUUUCCUCAUCUUCGAUUCUGAAAUUGGUAAUCUUGGCUUGUUUUUUCUCAUAGUCAUAAUAUAACCUUCAUUGUUUGUCUCAUCAUCAUCAACAUAGUCAUUGUUCUCAUUUUCAUCAACAUAAUUAGUACUAGUACUAAUAUUCUUCACUAUUUUGAUAUCUUUUUUCCUCAUUUCCACCACAAUAUUCUUAAGCCAAUCCACCACUUCUAACAUGCUUGGUCUAUUUUCAGGAUUUCCAUCAGUACAUUUCAUGGCAAUCAAGAUUGUGUUCUUCAAUUGUUCACGAUUGAACUUUCCUUUGAGCCUAGGGUCAGCAAUAUGAUUAAAAUCACCUUUUUGUAUAUAUGGAAGAGCCCAAUGCACAAUGUCACGUUUGACACCAUUAGGAAGUUUUUCUAAGGGUUUUCGAGCGCUUAUGAUUUCAAGAAGUAAUAUUCCAAAACUAUAGACAUCACAACUCUCAGAGACUUUUCCCCACAUAGCGUAUUCGGGAGCUAAGUAGCCUAGGGUUCCUUUAACCCUUGUUGUUAGAUGUGUAACACCAUCAGGUAUCAACUUAGCAAAUCCAAAAUCUGCCACUUUUGCUUGGAAAUUUGAAUCUAAAAGGACAUUGCUUGCCUUUAUAUCUCUAUGUAUGAUAUGAGGAUUUGCUUCAUGGUGCAAGUAACUACAAAAAUAAAAUUAAAAUUAAUUAGAUAGUUGAGAAGAAUUAUAAGCGGCACUACAAAAAAAAAGUAUGAUUCUCAGUAAAGACGUGUAUAUGACGACUUUCUGGGUCAUCAAUUAACGGAUAUAGAGUCAAAAUUUUUAUUAAAAAAAUAAUAUGUAUAAAAGUAAACACGCAAAAAAUAUCAAGAGAGAAUUCAACAUAUAACAAUAUACAUAAAUUAUUAUUUUUAUCUAUCUACUCAAUAUAAUUUUCCAGCAAAGGGCAUCUAUUGACACCCUUUUGGCCAGCUUGCCAUGAAAAACAAGAAGGUAAAAAAUAAAAAGAGUUUUCGAUAGAAAAAGAGGCCGGCAAUAGAAGUAUUCAGAUAAUUAAUUCAAAUUCAGCGUAUAUAAUAACUAGAGAGUCAAAUAGAUUUUUAUGGAUAUACAAAACGAAUAUACGUGUUAUCAUCUAGACUCUAGUACUAUUAUAUACUCAUCCAAGUUUCAAUUUGUUUUUGUCUACUACUUUUUCAAACUAUAUUCAUGAAAUUAAUAUUUAAGAUCAUAAAAUUAAAAGACAAUUUGGUAUAUUCUAUGUAUCUUUGUUUCAAGUCAAAAUCAGACAAAUAAAUUAAGAUCGAAGGGGUUAAGAUUUGAAUGCAAGUGCUUACCAUAAUCCAUCGGCAGAUCCAAUAGCAAUUUUCAUUCUUCGUUGCCAAUCAAGAAGACAAUCAGCAGAAAGUGUGCCAUGGAGAUGAGUGAUUAAGCUAUGAUUAGGCAUAUAAUCAUAAACAAUAAGCCUUUCAUCCUCACCAGCAUAAAAUCCUCUAAGACCUAAUAAAUUUUUAUGUCUCACCCUUCCAAGUAUCUCCACUUCUAUUGCAAAUUCCAUUUCUGCUUUCGCACUCAUUGCCUUUAGCCUUUUAACUGCUAUCUAAACAAUUAAACAAAAAAAAAAACAUGUAAUUAGUUAUGAACUUCAUCGCUAAUCUGUCAUGAAAAUUACUCAUAGCUAGUAUAAUUUUAAUGAUAGUAAUAUGUAGCUAAAGAGAAUUAGUGACGGAUUUUGUUGUUUAACUACUUGAAGUAGAAAAGAUAGAGUUGAUUGCCUCGAUGCCUUUACUUGUUCGACCCCAAUAAACACUUCCAAACCCUCCUUCACCAAUCUUGUUAUCAUUAUGGAAGUUGUUCGUAGCGUUAACAAGCUCUUUUAAUGUGUAAAUAUCCCAUGGAUAAUCCCUGUUCUUGAUCUGACCACUGAAUAAUUUCAUCACGAACGAAAAAGAAAUAUUUAAAAUUAAUUAAGCAUAUACAUAAACAUAUAUAUGUUAAUUAAAAUUAUUCGAUGAUAUACCUGAUUUCUAGUUUUUGAUCACCACCAAAACAAUUAAAACAUCUCUUAAACAUUAUUGUUUUUGGGAGAGAAAGGAGCACAAAUUAAAGGAAUUAUAAUAGAAGAGGAACCAGCAAGAAAAUGGUAGAUAAAUGUUGAAUAUAUCAAUGCAAAUUAAUGGAAUGAGUCGUACGUACAAGAGAGACAAAAUGGCAUCCUUGGAAGUCAAGGACUUGAUUUUAAUUAAAUUAUUUGAUCAUGAUGUUACAUAUAUAUUAUUUUAUUUUAUUAGAUUAAAAAAACACUCAAAUUUAAGGGUUUUAUUGUGUAUUAGAUCUUCAAGAAGUAUAUAUAUAGGGUGUGUUUGGUAUAACAAGUUUCUUAAAAUGUGGAAUGAUUUUCCGAGAGAAAACAAGUUUUAUAAAUAACUUUUGAAGUUUAUUGUUUCCUUCUUACUGAUCAUUCAACGUCCCCAACCCCCAUCUCUUGACCAUUUCACUUCCUCCACCCCCGAACUCUCACUUCCCAACCCAUCUCAAUUCUCAACAUAAGAAUAUUUUGCUAGUUUAUAUAUAAAUGCUUAGUGAAUAUUAUUUUUUAUUUUUUACUUAGUUAUCAAACAUUAGACAAUAAGUAAGAAACACACUAAUUUUCAAAAAAAAAUAUUUUCUAAUAAAGCAUUUUCAUUCCUGCAAAAUACACGUUAGUUUUAUGCCAUUUGAUGAAAUCAAUUGAUCGAAAUAUUUAUUGCGAUAUCUGAAUUUUGCUUCACAUAUUAAAACAAUAAAACUACCUGCCUUUCAAAAGAUUGUCAUGCCGCCCAAAUUUGCUUCAAAAGUAAUUACCAACAAUAUUUAGUGUAAUUUUAUAAAUAGAUUCAGAAAAAACAAACUUUUUACGCUUCAAAAGUUAGCAUAAAAAACAAAUCUCAACUGGAAAAUGAAGUUCUUUAAUGACUUGCUUUAGUGUUCCUCACUUUAUUGUAUUAUUUAACAUAAAAAUGAAUGUAAAUUGUCAUUUCUCUUGAACAUGAUCUCUUUGUCCACUUUAUAUUGUAACUACUAUCACGCGACAAGUCAAACUUAUUUAUGUUUUGAUUGUAAUGUAAAAAGUGAUAAUUAUUUUGACUCUUAUAAUAAUUAAAAUUCAUUCAUGGGGAAAUUAUGCGAUUAAGCAAAUUUAUACUACUCUCCUUCCUCUCCCAAUCUCGAUCACAUCUCUCAUCCCUCUCCCAAUCUCGCUUGCCAUAUAUACAAAUACAUAUGUAUAAUAUACAAUUAUCUAACCUAUAUACAUAUACAAUUCACCUCUCUCCCACUCUCUGCCCUCUCUCGCUCGCCUCUCUCCUCCCUCUCUCAAUCUCGUUUGCAUAUAUACAAAUGCAUAUGUAUAAUAUACAAUUAUCUAACCUAUAUACAUAUACAAUUCACCUCUCUCCCACUCUCUGCCCUCUCUCGCUCGCCUCUCUCCUCCCUCUCUCAAUCUCGUUUGCAUAUAUACAAAUGCAUAUGUAUAAUAUACAAUUAUCUAACCUAUAUACAUAUACAAUUCACCUCUCUCCCACUCUCUGCCCUCUCUCGCCCGCCUCUCUCCUCCCUAUCCCAAUCUCGCUGGCCUCUCUCCUUCCUCUCCCAAUCUCGAUCACAUCUCUCAUCCCUCUCCCAAUCUCGCUUGCCAUAUAUACAAAUACAUAUGUAUAAUAUACAAUUAUCUAACCAAUAUACAUAUACAAUUCACCUCUUUCCCACUCUUUGCCCUCUCUCUCUCGCCUCUCUCCUCUCUCUCUCAGUCUCGCUCGCCUCUCUCCUCCCUAUAUCAUGUAGCUACAAAUUGUAAUUAUCAAACUAUAGCUCUGGAGAGUAAUUAGGCUAUUUUUGAAUGGCUAUAUGUGAAAGUUCCUCAAAUAUAAACCCAUCCUCUUCAUGGUACUGGGCCUUCAGUUGGAGCCUGAAUGGGCCUCCACUGAAGUAAGGGUACUGGCGUAAAGUAUUGAAAAGGCCUGCCUGUUAACAAAUGCCUAGGUACAGCCCAAAUGGAGUGUGGGUUGUACAACUAAUAAAGGAGGCCUACGAUUAGGUCAAUAGUUACUAGUCAACUAAAAAUAAUUGUUCAAAUUAUGCAAAAUGUCCGUCCAUAAAAUUUAUUUGUCAUCGUUUUAGCCUAAUUUAUAAAAUUUACUUAAACUGGUUAUUCGACCUAAUUUAUAAAAUUUACUUUAAUUUUGGGACUGCUUAUUAGAGGUGAUUUGAAUUGAUCGAGAUUGAAUAAUACUUCAUGUAUAGUUAGUUUGUAUAUAUAUAUAUAUAUAAAUUAUAUCCACUCUUUUGAGUAUAUCAUAUAUAAUGUACCGUCAAUUUAUAGCUUAUGUAUAAAUAGAUGUAUUGUAUAGUCAAUGUAUAUUUUCGAUAAUUUUUGGCAAGCUAUUUUGUAUAAACAAUGUAUACUUUCUAUGAUUGUUUAAAUUAACCCAAAAUAAAUUGAGAAAAUGACAUGGUCUGGCUAAUAAAAGACAUAUUAAUAAGUAGUUGGAAUUAUAAGUAGAAAUAGUGUUGCAAUGGAAGCACUUUAUUUUUCACUUCUGUCAAUUUUGAUCAAACGUAAAUAAUGGAGUUUGAAUUUAAAAUUUAUAGGUUUUGAAUUUACUACCACAUACGUAACGCAUUUUAGUUACUGAAUUUGUAAUAAAAUAUUUAGACAUAUUAAUAUGUAUAUACAUACUUGAUCUAAGUAAAUAUUCCUAAGUUCAUCCGAACCUGUAUGUAAUACACGGCUUCUGCUCUUGCCUGCUGCUUUCCUAUGGAAGUAUUAACACAUUUAUAUUUCACAAAAUUAAUGUUUAAUUCAUCUAACNNNNNNNNNNNNNNNNNNNNNNNNNNNNNNNNNNNNNNNNNNNNNNNNNNNNNNNNNNNNNNNNNNNNNNNNNNNNNNNNNNNNNNNNNNNNNNNNNNNNNNNNNNNNNNNNNNNNNNNNNNNNNNNNNNNNNNNNNNNNNNNNNNNNNNNNNNNNNNNNNNCACAAAAAUAAUGUUUAAUUCAUCUAACCCCCCCCCCCCCCCCCUAAAAAUUCAUCCUCGGCAUAAAACCAACAUAAAUUUGUAUAACGCAAAUGGACAUAUCCCUGUCCUUUUUUUUUUUCUAGUUUCAAAUCGGUGUUUGUAAUCUGCAUUUGAGUUUUAAUGAAAUUCGAACCACCAAUUGCAGGACUUAUUCAAGGGUAACACUUACGACAAGAUUUUCUCUAUAUUUAACGUUCGAAUUCAAAAUCUCUGAUUAAAAAUGGAAUAAUCUCGCCACUGCACCACAACCCAUAUCGUAUCUCUAUUCCUUUCUGAUCCUUCAAUUGAGUGGUGAUAAUUUGAAUUUUUUUUCUUUAAAAGAAACAAGUGAGGACCACAAUCGACUUGUCAAUUGAUAAGAGAGACUCACAUAACAAGAAAUUUCUCGCAUUUAUCAUGCCAUACGUGAAUGAUUGUUACGUGUCAAGUGUAAGUUCGUUUUACACUAUCCUAUUUUGGUCUAUAUAUUAAAAUAUUUGGUUAGGUUAAAUAUAAACAAAAGCUAAGAUAUGAUUGAUUAUUGUUGAAAAGUUCAUUUUUUCAUGUAAUUGUUAUGAACUUAUCACGUUAUCGAAUGUGAAAAGAAAAAAAGAUCAGAUUCGAUUUUCUUGAAAAACGUAACGGAAGGAACAAGGUUAAGGAGAGGAGAGUCAUGUUUCAUUAAGGACCAACUAUAACAAUAAUAAUAUGGAUGGUAUACUUUUACAAUUGAGAUUUAAAGAAAGUCAUAUAUAUAUAUAAAUUUGUUUUUAUUUUAUUAAAAUAGAGAAAUUAUUGUCAAUAUACCGUUAGCUCAAUAAAUAGAAUGAAAAAUAUCCAAAGAUACACCCACUCAAAGUCAUAAUGAACCAAUGUAUGUUUUCUUAAUUGAGAACUUUUAGUUUAUUGUGAAGAUCGUGAAAUUUUGUAUGAAUUUAAAACGUUAAAUUGUUGAAUAUUAUUCACAAUCUACAUAUAGAAGUUGAAAUUCCUAACAUUUCAAUAUCCUGGACGUUUGCAUUAUCAAAAUCUCUAUUACAUCAUCAAAAGAAUGUCACUACAUCAAAAAUAACUUUAACGGCAAUAACUCAAUUGCCUCUAAAUAUGUAUUUUAGUGGCAACUAGCAUUCUUUGUAUAUGUCGCUAAAAUCUUUAGCGACAUUGGAUCUAAUGACACUUAACUAAUGCCGAUAAAAACUUUAGCACUCUUUAUUAAUAUGUCAGUUUAUUGCCGCUAAAGUUAUAAUGUGUGGUGCAGUAGAUAAAAAAUAAUUUAUAUUACUGCUAGCAAGAUAUCAUAAACCAAGAGUGCUAUUGGUAAGCUUUCUCCGAUCUAUCUAAGUUCAUUUUUCAUUUUUACAUCUCCUUAAGAAAAUCAUAAAUAUUCUUUAGAAUUUUUUUUAGAAAUUUUAUGAAUUUAUUUAUAUUUUUUAAAAUAAAAUAAAAUUGUAAGUGUAAAAUGAAAAAAAUAAAUUUUUUUUUCUUAUGACUUUAUAAUAGAAAAGUAUUUUAGAACAACUAUUUUGAUAAGUGGACAAGUAAUAUGGGACAAAUGAGAUAGAAAGUAGUUCUUACUUUAACUUCUCCUUCCAUUUAAUUUUAAAAAUAAGUCACUUAAAUAGAAAAAAUACGCCAAUUAAGUAAUCAAUGAAUAAGUAAUUUACUAAAUUAUCUCUAUUUAAUAAAUUAUGUUUUGAGAAUGGAACAUUAUUAAGAAGAUGAACUAUAAUCAUAUAGCUGGAAUAAUAUACUGUCUCUUUUCACUUUUACUUGUCACAUUUCGACUUAACACACACAUUAGAAAAAUAAUGAUUUACAUGAUUGUUUUAUCACUAUCUCUAAUAAAUAAUGUUUAUUAUUAGAUUUUGAAUAAUAAUUUAAAGAAUAAAUAAUUAAUGACAAAAAUGAAAAAAAGUUAGUAAUAUUUUUUUUGAUAUAUUAAAUAUAAAAAUAAAAUAAAAUUUAUUUUUAAAAUAAUAAACAAAUAAAAAUGAACACGCUAUAGAAAAUUGUGUUGGUAAAAAGACAAAAGAUAAAUAAAUGGUUAUCCAUGUCAUGUGUGAAUUGCAAUGACUCCUAGAUCUUCUAGGUGUUGGACCUCAGAGUUUUUUUGUUUUUUUCUUAUGUGUGUGUCCAAACAUCCAGGCUAAUCAUCAUUACGUAAAACGGAAUAAAUAUCCUAAGCUCAAUAAACAAGUUUAACUUCUUGUUAAUCAUUCUUAAUAUUUAAUUAAUUCCACUUAUCGUUAAGUUUCCAUAAGAACGUGGUGCAACCAGCUUAAUAUGAUUCGUCCUGCUCUUUGUCUUUAUAUACUCCAGUGGAUACUAUGGGCCAACUUGACCUAAUCUAACAAUUACUACUAAUUUAAUUAUCAUUACCAUCCAACCUUGAAUGAUUAUAAUUCAAAACACCUUCCAUUUUCAAUUCUUCUUUUCUUUUAACAGCCAUCAUAACAAAUUUUUAUUUUGUUUUGAUUUAUCUGAUAUUCACAUUGGAGUUAGACUAAAUUGGGAUUCACAUUAUAAAGUAAAACGUUGUCUAACAAAGGCGACUCCUCAUCUAAAAGGACUUAAUCUAGAGACCUCUGAUUGAGAAUAAAUAAGUACUUGUCACUUCACCACAAUUCUUAUCGGUCAUCAUACAAAUUAUUAUUUUUGUUGUUAUUGAUCGAUUUAAAUAUGAAUUAAUAUUAAAUAAAAGAAGCUUAUAUGGCAACAUAGAAGGAAAUGUGGCUAGUCUGUAGGACCUUAGAUCUCAGCCACUACAAGAUAAAGUUUUCCAAAGAUUAAAAAGCUACCUAAUCAGUGCUUGGUUUAAAUAUUCUUGUCCUUUUGUUUAUGACGUGUUUAACCCAUCGAUUAAUUAGUUAAUCAUGUCACUCAUUGGAACUAUAACUAGUUUGUAGUUUCUCGCUUAAUUUAAUUACUCUCUCUAUUCAUUUCAAUUUGAUUAAUCUUCGAAGUUAUACUGAUCAAUUAGAUUAGUUUAUUAUGUUUAAUUAAAAUGUAGAUAUUCAAAAUUCAUGUAGUUUGAUUCUCGAGAAGUAAAAUGUGACAAGUAAAAAAAAACUAUUUAUAAUAUAUUAUAGUAUUUGAAACAUAAAUACUAAUUUAGGAGUCAUAUACUCCCUAUGUCCCUAAUUACUUAUCCACUUUUGAAUUGACACACCUAUUAAGAAAAUAAUUAAUGACAUAAUGAGUUUAUCAUUUUACCCGUAUUAAUUAUGAAGUGGAUGAAAAGUUCUACAUUUUAAAAAAUAAUUAGUCAUUUAAUUAAGGGUAUAAUAGGUAAAAAGAAUUUGUUCUUUCUUGAUUUGUCAAAAUGGACAAGUAAUUAAGAACAACUAUAAAAGGAAAAAUGAACAAGUAAUUAGGGACAGAGGGAGUAUGAUUUUCCCUUAUGAAACCGGAUCGUUUAUAGCAAUAAUGAUUCAAAUUAUUGGUUGUCGGAAUCCUCACAUGACGGAUGAAUUCCCUAAUAUUAGAGACAAAAUUUUUAUUAUGAACCUUAACCAUCAUAGGAAUAAGAAAAAUCUAUCUUUAUUUCUACACCCAUAAAGGUAUAUUUAUACAUUAUAUAAUUUAUAGGUAGAGUUUAAGAAUAUUUCUCAUUUGGUUUGCUCUUGUAAUAUUAUGAAUUUCUCCGGGAGAAUUUUUUUAGACAAGUCUAUAUUAACCAAAUUUCUAGAGGAGGUUCAAUUUUAUGUCCCUUUAAAUAUAUUCACUUUUUGAAUAUUAAUUUACAAAGUAGAGAUCUUAGCCAAACCCCUGCCACUACAAUGCAACUAAUUUUUUUUUGAUUUUUCAUUUAGUGUUUGGAGCCUAUAUUGAAGUCAGGAGCAUAUUUAGAGAGGGUGUCGUGGAUUCACGUGAACCCAUAUUUUCCUUUCUAGAUCAUAUAUAGAAAAUAUUUAAAUAUAGAUGUGUAAAUUCACGUUCAAUGUAUUAUAUAAUAAUACGAUGAUUGAGUGCACCUCUCUAAGUGAGGAUAAAAAUUUAUACGUAUUUUAUAUCUACUCGUCUUUUUGAGUAACACCUCUUAAUUAAAGUAGUUAUCAGUAACAUUUUUGACGUUUCAACUAAUUUUUCUUUUCUUUUUUCCGUUAAUCUUUCAAAAUUCCAAAUGUGUUAGAAAAAUCAUAAAAAUUUUAGCACUAUAAAAAAUUUAUAUAAUUAAAUCAAAUAUGUAUAGUAAAAUUUAAAACUAGUAUAGUGUUAUAUAUUUUGGACCUAAAUAUUUCUUUUUAAAAUUUAAUGGUUCAUAUUAAGAACCUAAAAAUCAAACCGAUCAAAUUUAUAUUUAAGAUGCCUUUUUUUGUAAUCAUGCACUCAUCUUGCUGAAAUCUUAAAUACAUCUUUGAUUGAAGUCUUAAUUAAAUUUAGAUCACAUACUGUAAAAUCCAUCCAAAAAUAUUGCUUCCAACAAAAAAAAAUUCAUAAGAAAAGCUCGAAUCCAAAACUUGAAAGUUUUCCCACCAUAAGCCGGGUUGGUAACAAUAGUAUUACAAUACCGACAACCUAUAUAUAGCUACUCGAUAGUGGUAAUUAUUUCUAUAAUAACAGUGGCACAAUUAACAAAACAAACAAGAAAUGAAUCGUCGUUUAUCAAGGUCCCAAAUAAGAACAAGAUUUUUGUACAGUGGUUCAGAUCCUCUUCAUGUGCAAUGGACAAAGUUUCCUAAAGUCUAGGCCCCAUUAUUAUAAAUGUUGUGCUGAAAAACAUAAAAAAUAAUUUAUAAUUUUCUUCUACAUCCUCUUUGCUUUGCUGUGGUGCAUCAGAUUCUUAUGUACUCACAAGAUAAUGUAUGUUUAGAUAAUGCUUGUGUCUACAAAUAAUGAUGCAUUAGUGAAUAGGCAAAUCCGUACAAGAAAUGACAACUAUUUCCAAGACCUCAUAAUCAGUGUUACCCUCUUCCCAAAUUGUUUCUUUAUUCCUCUCCUACAAUUUAUCUUCUUCAAUCCGUCUACUUUUAGUUGCCAUGUUUUUUUUAAGAGUCAAAUGAUAUGCAAAAAAUUAUAAUUUAUAAUACUUUUAUUCGUAUAGUUUUUGAAUAUCUAAAUUUUUUGUUUAAAAAUAACGAAUUAAUGUAAUUUGAUUUAACUUUGAAAAUUAGUUAAAUUGACUUUCAAAAAAUGCAACAUGACAACUAAAAAUGGACGGAGAUUAGUACAAUUUUUCUUUUUAGACUCUGAUUUUUUCUCAUUUCUGAAAGAAAAAUUAGAUGUGUUGUUUCUAAUUAGAAAUAAAGUAGUUUGAGGAAGUGCAUGAAAAUUAUAUAUUAAUUGGUCUUAUAUAUAAAGUUGGUAGUUCAAAUUAUAAAAGUAGUAAAUCUCUUUUCGACAAUGCAUGAAUUUUAGAUCACUAUUAAUUAUUUUUUUACUGGAAUUAGUUAUGAACUUUCACUACUAGAAACAAAAGUUUUUUGAACAAAUAUGCAAGAAGUUUAUGCUAUUGAAUAUGAUGUUUCUACUGAAUUAGCUCAUCAUUGAAAAAAUGCAUGGUGAGAAAUAUUUUCUCAUUGAAAUAGUGAAAAAAUUCUUAAUCUUCCAUAUGAAAAUAUUAUUAUAUUUUCUUUUCUCCCCAAAACAAUCAAAAUAUUUAUGAGAAUUGCCACUAAACAUUUCCAAUAGUACAUUUUUAGUAGUGUUCUUCGUAGCUUAUGUAUCACCAAAUUGCUUGUAGCUAGCAUAAGUUUUUGAUAAUUUGUAGCAAAUCAUCAUAAAAUAGGAUAAGUAAAAAGAAUUUUGUUGUUUAGCGACAAAAUUUAUCUUUCGCUAAUACAUUAUACAAAACAUUGGUUUCUUAAAGGCAAAAAAUUCUGUGGAUGCGGUGAGCCGUGAAAACAUGAAUGUAAAGAUUAAAAGGUAAGAGGAUAUUGAAAUUAAUGUCACAAAAAAAAAGGCAAAUAGAGACAAAUGAGAAUUAAGGAAAGGACAACAGGAAUCCAUGAAAAAAUCCCAAGUAAUGUCGUGUUAUGUUAGAGAGGAGGAAACAAAAAACAAAGAAAUGUGCAAUUUUGGGAUAAUACAAGUAUACAGCCUACAUACAAUAAUAACAACAAACAUAAGCCAACACAAACAACAAAGGUUGCCACGUGAAGCGGCCCUUUUGGAACCCUAGUCUAAGAAAGGCACUAUAUAUCCUUGUCCUUACUUAUGAUGGCUGCUAUAGGUUCUCAUCCCUCUUCUAUGGUCGUUUUCUUUAUAGUUAAUUGUAAAAUAAUUCCAUGGGGUAAAACAAUUCGGAAUAGGUGGACGAAUGAUGUGACAACAUGUGGCAAGAAUAAGCAAUUACAACAAUCUAAUAAGAAUCAUUGAGUAACAUCUCCGGGACACGGUCAGUCAAUGCGGCUAAGUGUAGGAAAGUUUUGAAGUCAACACCAGCGUAACCAAUACCUAGCCGGUAAGGCCCAUCUAGGUCCAAAAGUUUGGUUCCAAAUUCAAAAUCCUAGCCAAGCAAGAUAAGGAUAAGAUACGCGUUACAGUCUGUAUUUAUGAAAGGUGUAGAAAUCCUAGUCGUCCGAUAUGCAAUAGUAGAGUUGAUCAUGACUAAGUAAAAGAUAAUCAGAGGGGCGAAUUAUAUGGAAGUUGUAUUAGGGCUUCCACGAUUCUUAUGAAGCACAUUAUAUGCUAAUAAGUUUAUAAUUUAUCUAUUUAUCUAGUCUUUAAGCUUAUUGUCACGAUUCAAAAAAUGGACGUGAUGGGCACUUGCCUAUUUCCACCAAGACAAGUCAGUCUUCAAUCCAACGAAACGAAAGAAAUGCGAAAAGUAAAGCAAGAAUAACAAAAAGGCAGAAAAUUUAGUCAUUCUAAUUAAUAUAACUCUCAAAAUAUGGUUGUUACGUGUACAACUCACUAAUACAUAAGGUACAUAAAUAAAAAAUAAGUUCAAGUCUCAAUGUCUUUGUUUAUCAAGUCGAACAAAGCAUGACAUAAAGGAAAAAGAGGGUCAUCGGGAUGACAAGCAACUACCUCUCAAAGUCCUUCUACAAGCCUCAGGUAUAGCUGAAGAAGAGCAAUAAAACAGAAUUGGACUCAGAAUCUACACAAGUGUAGAAGCAAGGAUUGAGUACCAAAUAACACGGUACCCAGCAAGCAACCUGAUAAACAAAGCAAAACUAACUAGAAAACACGCAUUACUUUUAUCCCAACCAAAUCUCCUCAAACUACAAGCUACAUAGAAAUCAACCCAAUGUCACAGUUCAUAAUACACAGUUCACAAGUUCUCAUGAUCCUAGUAGUCAUUAUUCAACAACCAUCAAGUAGCAAGUAUGACAAUCACAAGUAGCAAGAUCAUCUAAGUAUAAUAAUCAAGCACACUGAACACAAAUCCACAGAUAUAUCAUGCACAAUAUCAAUCGAAACUCAUGGAAACCACCCAUGGUUUAUGAACUAGCUGGUAAUGACCUCAACAUUAAUAUCACUCAUCGGCAAUGACCCCGACAUCAAUAUCACUCAUCGAAAAUGACCUCGGCAUCAAUAGCACUCACAGGUAAUGACCCCGGCAUGAAUAUUAGCAACGAAAAUGACAUCAACAUCAAUAGCACUCUCUGACAAUAACCUCUACAUCAAUAUCACUCACCGAAAAUGACCUCAGCAUUAAUAACCAUCACAAGUUUCAUCAUAGUGCUUGGAAAACAAUGCAAGUAAGCAAUUUCACACCACAAGAAAGAGACAAUAACUUAAGCAAAUCAAGUCCACAUUAAUGCCAUCAAAACAUUUCAUCAAUCAUCACAUUAGGGUUCACAACAAGGCAAAUUCAUAAAGUAUUAUUGAAAUCCUAGCCAAGCAAGAUAAGGAUAAGAUAGGCGUGAUGGUCUGUAUUUAUGAAAUGUGUAGAAAUCCUAGUCAUCCGAUAUGCAAUAGUAAAGUUGAUCAUGACUAAGUAAAAGAUAAUCAGAGGGGUAAAUUAUAUGGAAGUUGUAGUAGGGCUUCCAUGAUUCUUAUGAAGCACAUUAUAUGCUAAUAAGCUUAUAAUUUAUCUAUUUAUCUAGUCUUUGAGGUUACUGUCACGAUUCGAAAAAUGGACGUGAUGGGCACUUGCUUAUUUCCACCAAGACAAGUCGACCUCAAUCCAACGAAACGAAAGAAAUGCGAAAAGUAAAGCAAGAAUAACAAAAAGGCAGAAAAUUUAGUCAUCUAAUAUAACUCUCAAAAUCUGGUUGUUACGUGUACAACUCACUAAUACAUAAGGUACAUAAAUGAAAAAUAAGUACAAGUCUCAAUGUCAUUUUUUAUCAAGUCAAACAAAGCAUGACAUAAAGGAAAAAGAGGGUCAUCGGGAUGACAAACAAUCAACUACCUCUCAAAGUCCUUCUAAAAGCCUCAGGUAUAGAUGAAGAAGAGCAAUAAAACAGAAUUAGACUCGAAACCUACACAAGUGUAGAAGCAAGGAUUGAGUGCCAAAUAACACGAUACCCAACAAGCAACCUGAUAAAUAAAGCAAAACUAACUAGAAAACGCACAUUACUUUUAUCCCAACCAAAUCUCCUCAAACUACAAGCUACAUAGAAAUCAACCCAAUAUCACAGUUCAUAAUACACAGUUCACAAGUUCUCAUGAUCCUAGUAGUCACUAUUCAACAACCAUCAAGUAGCAAGUAUGACAAUCACAAGUGUCAGAUUGAUCAAUCACAAGUAGCAAGAUCAUCUAAGUAUAAUAAUCAAGCACACUGAACACAAAUCCACAGAUAUAUCAUGCACAAUAUCAAUCGAAACUCAUGGAAACCGCACAUGGUUCAUGAACUAGCCGGUAAUGACCUCAACAUUAAUAUCACUCACCGGAAAUGACCUCGACAUCAAUAUCACUCUUUGGAAAUGACCUCAGGAUCAAUAACACUUACAUGUAAUGACCUCGGCAUGAAUAUUACUCAACAAAAAUGACAUCGACAUCAGUAGCACUCGCAGACAAUAACCUCUACAUCAAUAUCACUCACCGAAAAUGACCUCGGCAUCAAUAACCAUCACAUGUUUCAUCAUAGUGCUUAGAAAACAAUGCAAGUAAGAAAUUUCGCACCACAAGAAAGAGACAAUAACUUAAGCAAAUCAAGUCCACAUUAAUGUCAUCAAUCAUCACAUUAGGGUUCACAACAAGGCAAAUUCAUAAAGUAUUAUGAUCAACACAUUGUCUUUUCAUUAAUCCUCUUUUAUUCAUUAAUAUCAAUUAAAUGGAAUAAUUGAACCCAUCACCUCGUUUCCAUUACUUCCCAACACACACAAAUGAAAGGAAAUACAUGAUUCUACUAAUUUUACAAGAUUUAGGAGAUCAUUUGCCUCAAUUUCAAUCAAAGUCAAUACAAGACUUGAGUCUUCCCUUUCCGAACAAUUUCCAAACCCACGUAAUCUAAUUCACUCAAGUAAUUAUAAUAAGAUUCUAAAAAUAACAACACCCAAAUCAAACACUUUGUAAAAAUGGGCCAAAACAACUCAAAAACCCAAUUCUUAAAAUGAGGUUUGAAUCCAAAAAUCUUAAGUGAACAUUACCUAAAGGAUUUGGAAUCCAUUGAUGAAAUUCAUUUCGAAAAAGGAUUAAAAAUCGGUCCAUAAUCACCAUUUUACUAAACUUUUGGGUUCUUGAAGAAAACCCCAAUUAAUCAUUUCAAAAUCUUGAUUUGAACACUUAAUUUCAUAAAUAAUAAUGUGUAAAUGAAAAUUUAAGAUUAUGAGUCUUUACCCAAAUAUUUAUUCUCAAAAAUCUUGUCCAAAUUGUCACACCAAAGCUCCCAAAACUCACAAAUUGUGAAAUGAGGUUGAAACCUCGAUAUUUAAAAGAUAUUAUGUUCAAGGAUCCACCUCAAAUGGGAAAGGACAACUCACAAAUGAGAUCCGCGAAAGAGCCCCGCUUCCCCCGAACGCGGGUCACCCCUCCGCGAUCACGAAGGGUUGGCUUCAACAACACAAAUAAGAAAAAUCAUUCAAACACGAAAUCAUCGAAAGGAUCCUCGAGAUUCGUUCAGAACCCCGUACACACAAACCAUAUAUGUAAAUUGGCUAUACAUGACAAUACGAACUCAAUGAAACCAUUGAAACACGAAUUUAAGGUCUCCUUGACCCGAAACUCAUAAAAUUCAUAAGAAAUAAACAAAAUGCCUAAAAAGGCCAAAUCAAGCUCGGGUUCUCUAAAAAUUCAACGAAGACCUCACCUAGGCCUAAAAUCAUCCCUCGAAUUUAGCGGAACUCUCGAAACUUUUAUCUGAGAAUCCAAACCCCCAAUAUUGACUAAAGUCAACCUAAAGGCUAAAAUUUCACAAAUUUCCAACUUAGGACCUCAAAUCCUCAAAAAGACUCCAAAUCUGAAAUCGACGACUUUCAUAGUCCAAUUUCCACAUUCCGGGACUGAUGGAAUCAAUAGAAUUUCAUUUCAACACUAGAAAUUUCAAAAGACACCAAAAAACAUUUUUAAUAACUUUAACCUUUCAAACUCAAAUCUUACAAAAUUCAUAACUUUAUUUACUCAAAGUUUGAAACCAACUUUCAAAACUCAAUUAGAAAUAACUCGGAGUCAAUAUCAGGAUGGACAAAAUAGUAAUUUUAUGAAAAUUUUCAAAAAUGACCAAGCGGGUCAUUUCACUUACUCUAUUAUUCAUUUUUUGAAAAAAAAGAGUCAAUUAUGUUUUACCCCCGAAAGACAAAUUAUUAUGAUUUGCAUGUGAUCGAGUUGGAACUAAGUAAAACCGUGUAAAAAUAGAGAAUUGGAAGUGAUCAAACAAAAUGUUGCCGAAAUCGUUGCUGGUGUGGAUGAGGGAAUACAACCGCAACUCCGUAUGUACCACCACAACACUCGAUUAAUAGACACAACUCGAGGUGGAAUGGGUGCAACUUUAUAUGCGACAUAUUGAUGCGACCACAACUUUGGAUGUAGUGACACAUCUCACCUGAUCUACAUCGCUACUCAGUAGCAUCAGUUUGAUCAUGCUAUACGAUGCAACUAAGCAGAUGCGAUUGCAUCAACACAUGGGACGUUGUUGCGCAUGUGCGAGCCUUAGUUUUAUUCAAAUUUUAAUGUGUAUUUUCAAAAACUAUAAAUACUUAAUGGUAGGAUUUAUUUAGCAAUUCAAUUUUUAUCUGGUUUUUGAGACUAGGAACAAUACUUUUCGUAAGAAAUGUAAGUCCCCUCCAUUUUUGGCAUUGUGAUCAAAUUGUUGUUUAUUGAAAGCAAUAUUUUGGUUCUUGAUUCUACUACUUGAUCAUUGUAGGCAUGUUUUUUCAAUUUUUUAUUUCAACUUUUGUAAUAUCUAUGUUGUCCUAAAAGGGAGUAACAAUGAUACUGUUUACUAGUUAGAAAUUCUAGUAAGUAUUUUUUUGGUGUAUGAUUAGUUCUUUCAUUUUGUUUGAAUUCUAAUGAAAGAUUGUAACACCUCAGAUUUGAAAAAGACUAGAAAGGGUCAAACGGGCAAGUCACGAAUCCAAAAUGGACCAUGGACCCUUCAUAGUGCCCUAGAUGGGCCGUGUAAGGGUCCACGACCCAUUAAAGGGCUCGUGAAAACUAUCCAGAACUGCCCUAGGCAGGAGCCACGUGGACGGUGUCUCAGACGGCCCGUCUAGGGGUCGUCAAGUCAUCAAGCCAGAAAGGGUUUCACCUUAAGUCAUUGUUAAGGACCACAGACGUCUAAACGGUCCGUGUCGGGCAGGGAAAUUUCACGACCCACUUGAUGGGCCAUCAUGAUCUAGACGACCUGUAAAGCCUUUCGUGAGAGGCAUUUCAACAGUUUUAAGUAAGGGUCAUAUAGGUCUUUUCCCAACUGUUUUAACUCAAUACUAUGUCGUUUUACCUUCUUACCUAGGCCAUAUAUAAACACUUUUACCCCCAAAAUCACCCAAUUCAAUUCACUCUCUUAAAUUCCCAAAAGUUGAUCAAGUUCAUCCUCUCAAAUAUUUCUUUCUCUAAGGAAGAAAAAUAAAUCUAGGGUUUCAAAUCAAGUCUCCAAAUCCACUAUUAAUUGCAAGUUUAUGGCAUCAAGGUAUGAUAGUAUUCACCUAUGGAUCUCUUUCCUUUAUAGGGUUCCAUUCUCCAAUUUCGUAAAGCUAGAUUCUCCAAUCAAAUUAGGAUUUUAUUCAAUUGCCUUGAGUUCCUUUCAAUGUUGAUUCAAUUGAUGGUUUUAUGUCUUCUUAUACAUGAAUGGAAGUAAUUACAUGUUUUUUAGUUGAAUUCUCAUGGACCCAUGAAUGAUCUAUGAUUUUGACUAUGAACCAUGAAACAUAAAUUUAUGAAGAUAUGCAUGCCUUUUCUUUAUGAAAUUGAUGUUGAGGAUGCUUUGACUUUGAAAACAUGAUGAAGCUUAUGAAUUCUUGAAAAAUGCAUGUUUUAUGAAAGUAAUGCUUAUGACUCAAGUAAGCUUAUAGAUGAAGGUAUCUAUAUGUUCUAUGAAGCUUGGCCACAUGACAUGAAUGACAUCUAGAUUUACCCUCUAUGCUUUUUAGCCUAUUUUUCUAAAUUAGGUCUUGAUUAAUAUGAUAUCUGGAUAUGUCAUCAAUGAUUAUAGAUCACGCUUUCAAACAAAGUUGUUUAAGAUCCUUGCAUAGAUCCCCACAGAUUGAGAAAUAGACAAAAGUCAAAUAAUAAAUAAAGUGAAAAAAAUUACUUGGACUUUGCUAAAGAGAAAUCCCCCUUCUCUAUAAUGACCUUUGCAAUAGAAAAGGCAGCGAAGCUACAAAGGUUCGCUACAGUGAAGACCCGUUCGCUAUAGCUAAGGUCAAUAUUUUAUUUUCGUGUUUUUAAGUCAGUUUUUUGUCCAAUCUUGAUCAUAACUUAUAAUAUUCGACCAGAGGAUCCUAAUGGUGACUUUUUCAAAACUUUGGACUUUUCUUUUACUAAGUAAGUGAUUCCAAUUUAUCUUUCUCUUUUGUUAUCCAUUUUUUCAUAGAAUUAAAGGGUAAGAUCUUUGUAGAUGGGUUAAACUCUAGGCUAAUUAUUAUUGGGGCAGAAUGCUAAGGGAGGGUAAUUAUGCAUGAUUUUAAUCAUUUCCAUUAAAUUUUAUUUUGGGGCAUGGAAUUGUUAAUCUAGGUUUUAAUUUUGAUAUAGGGGAAUUGUUGCUCCCAAUUGCACACGCAAAUGUACGUGGUCGCGUAAAUAAUAAAGUGACUCUUAAAAGAACCGAAUUAUCGAACCCAAAGGACUUGUCGAUUAACUAUUUACUAAAUUAUACUAGUCUAAUUAUUUAUUUAAGAGUGUUGCAACCCAAAGGACUUGUCGAAUUGAUUUUUUUUUGUAAAGAAUAGAAUGCAAGAAUGAAAUAAUAAUAUUACUUACAGUGGUUGGGAUAAUUCCAGGGCUGCAACAUAUAUCAUAUUUCAUGUAUCAUAUUUCAGGCAAUGAACUAAUUUCGAUUAUCAAGUUACUGAUUUACAGGGUUAAUUGUAUGAGUCGGGUCUCUCGACCUCUAGCCGCCUACUCCAGUUAGCUGUCUAACUACAUUGUUGAGCGGGGAUAGAAGGCCUAACUGGCGAGCAUUUAUAUUUUAUCAUGUUUCGUAACCAAGCAAGUUGUUCAUCCGGGCGUCACUCCUGAACGCACAUCAACUUAAUGGAAGAUUGAGCUUUCUAUAUUCUCUGGUCUAUCUACCCUCUCCUCUCUCGAUUUUAAGAAUAGACAAUAUAUUUAUCUCUAGAUGGCCAGUCAAGAAAUACUAAAACAAGAAUAUAAAAGUAACUUCAACGAUAACCAAGAAUUAAUUCAAAAAACUUUAAUAUUCAAUAAUCAAUCCAUAGCUACAGCCCCAGAACAAGGGCGUUUAACCACUAAUCUCUAAGAAAAGAAGAAAAGCAAAGAACCUUAAAAAGUAUUGACAACUUUAUACUUUGAUGCUCUAUGAUUGAUCUCUUCCUAAUUGAUCUCCUAUAUUUUGAUCUCUCUAAUAAUUAUUUGUAUAUCUUACCUAAAUUCCAUAGUGUAAAGAUCUAAAUUACAUUCUAUCCCUACUCUUUUUCAAUUUACGAAAAUCCCUUCAAAAUCAGUGCUAUCCAGAUACAUAGAAAAUAAGUCGGAUAUAUUAAUUUCAAUACAUUAAAACAAAUUCAGUUACACUUUUAAAGGAAAGUGAAUCAAUUUUGAAUGUGAGUUCCCUAAAUCAUUCUAAUCAAUUUAUUGUCAAUCUUUCUCAAAUGGUAACAACUUACAAUUAAUUCAAAAUUCAAAUUUUCUUCUCUCAAUUAUCUUCCAAAUUCUCCUAGCUUCAAACAAUUCAAUUAGACGCAAAUCCUUCCAGAAUCAACAAAUUCAAAAUUCAUUUUUUUUCCUCUCUAUUCAUCGUCUCAUGUUCAUCGAAUAAUCAUUCAAAUCAGAUUCAAAUUUUCCAAAGAAUUGAUAAGAUACAUGAUGAUUAGUUGUUGGAAAAGAAUUUCUUUUGUGAAUCUCAAAUACACCAUUGCAGUAGAUCGAUGAGAUGAGGAAAAACUUGAAAACCCGAUAUAUAGUGGAAUGAUAUCACAGGAAAAUGUUGAUUCUGCUGCUUGGCAUACUCUUCAUCUCACCUCGAUCAUGGCACCACAGUAAGAGAUGGUCAAAGAAGUUACUGACCACUUCAAUUUGUAUUUUAAAAUACAUUAAAAAACUAGUUAAUGUAUUCCAAAAUUGUUCUUCUUAUUCUUUCUAAAAAAAAUUCAAUUUUUGAAUCAAACUUGUCGAUAAAUUGUAUUGAUACAACAUGAACAUGCCCAUCUUGUUGAGACAUUCCGAAAUCUGAGAAAGUGAGGUGAGGUAUGAAUGAUACAAAAGUGAUGAAAUUGUUGUUGGUCAAAAAAUUGAUUUGUGAAUCUCAAAUCAACCAUUGCAGUUGAGAAAAAUUUGGAGAUCUGAUACAUCGUUGAGGGGAAGAAACAAGAGUUUGAAUUUUCAAUGUAUCCGUUAUAAAUUGAUAUAACAAACAGAAAGGCUGAAGAGAUGCAUAGCUUUGAUGGAUCAUUCAUACCUUUUAUAAUGUUGUUUAAUUUUUUUCUGAAUUUUGUUUCUGAGAUGGAUAGAUUUAUCAAUACAUUACUAUUUAUGUAUCUCGUUUAAAUUAAGAAGUGUUGUAUUUCUACUAGAUACAUUAAAUAAGUAAUUGAUGUCCAUAAGAUGUAAGGUUUGAGAUCGAUACAUUACUUUGUGGUAGUUGCUACGUAUCAGAUACAAUUAAUAUAAAUUUGAAUUUACGUAUCAUGUCUAAAAUAUUGUAUAUUUGUUCAUGCAAUAAUAGAAUGUUGUGUAUCCGAUACAUUAUAUCAUGUAUCAGUUAUAUGGUUUAGUAGAUGUAAUAUUUGUGUUCCAUAAAAAUGUGUAUCUAACACACAAUUUGUGCAGUUGUGUUUGAUAAAAAAAAUUGUAUUUGAUAUUAACACUAUUUGAAAGACAGAAUAUUGUGUACCUAAUACAUGAUAUAAUAUAUGUAUUAAUGCGCUUCAUGUUUAUUGUAUCAGAUACAUAGCUGCAAGAACUUCAUAUUUUAUCUCUAACUAAACAAACUUUUGAUAAUAACAUUUGUGUUUCACUGUUUAUGAAUCUGAUACAUGUUUGUGUGACACUUUAAUGUAUCAUGUACUGUGUACUGUUACAUAUCCUUCUAAAUUUGAAUAAGAGAGAAGAUACAUAGCAACACCUAGAUACAUGAUAAAUGAUACAUUUGGAAGAAGUUUUAUAUCAAGUAUCAAAACUAAUUAAGUUUAUGUAUCAAAAUUAAUAUUUGAACACGAUACACUGUGUAUGAUAAAAUUGUAAUGUAUCAUAGUGUUGAAACAAAGACAUUAUACAUUAAUUUAAGAAACAAAACUAACUAGAUGCAUUAAAAAUCUAGUUAAUGCAUCUAAUUAGUAAUUUGAACACGAUACAUUGUACAUAGUGAAAUAGUAAUGUAUCAUAAUGUUGAAAUGAAGACAUUAUACAUUAAUUUAAGAAAUCAAAACAACCUGAUACAAUAAAAAUCUGAACGCAUAUAUAUCAGAAAAAAAGAUGAACAAGAAAAAAUCGGGAAAAAAAAAUCAACAAUCUAAUCUAUUUCGACUUCUCUUUCUCAACAAUCACUUUAGAAGACAAAUGUACAUUCACUUUUUAAAACAUUUACUUUAUAAAACGAAGGUACAUCCUUCUUCUCAUUCUCAUUCUCAUUCUCCUUCUCAACAUUCACUCUUGUAAUUAUUAUUUUUACUAUUAACAUAGACGUCACUCAUGAAUCUCGAUCCAAAGUCCUUACAAAAGCCACCAGUAGAUCGACUUUUUUCGUCUUUUUGAGCAUUUUUUCCACAGUCUAUUUAGGAGGCGAAGAUGCAUCCUUCUUCGACUAGUUGAGUAAUACCAACACUAAAAGAAUGAUCUUGAUCCAUAUGCAUCAAGAAAUAAAGAAGAAGAAAAAUAAAAUUGAAGAAGACGACUGUGGAGGAGACACAAUAUAUCAAUUGAGUAGUUUGAAUUUGAUUGACCGGAGAGAGAAUUCUUUUGCAAAUAAAAUUGAUAUGAAAAUUCUAACGGAUAAGAUUGUAGAGAAUUCUUUUGAAAAUCAAAUUAAUAUGAAAAUUGCAACUGAUAAGAUUGUAGAGCAAAUUAUGGAGAGAAUAAAGGAGUGAAAAAAAAGAAGGAAAUCAUGUGUUAAGGAUGGGAUACUUAUGUAUCCGAUUGACUUGAAAAUUUAGAAAAAAUAAGGGAUUUUGGAAAUAUUUUAAAAUGGUAGAGAAUGAUGGAAAUUAUAAAAAAUAAAGAUGUGUAUAUAAGUAAUUUAUCCUAAUUAUUUUCAUGGUUACUUAUAGAUGUAGAAAACACAAAAAGUAAUUGAGUCCAAAAUAAAUUAGGUACUCAAAAUCUUAACAGAAUUGGAUUCCGCGUGAAAACCGUUUGCUGUAGCCGACUUCCAUUGGAAAUUUGAAAUAUUGCCUUCGUAGUUGACACGUGGCAUUUGAUCAUAUUGAUACUGCAACUUUUGAUUCCAAUAAGCAUAGGAGUAUAUUUAUUUUAUAAAAUUUAAUUCAUUAAGCUGCCUGCUUAAUUUCCUUCUUCAACUUUUCAUCUUUAAUUCGUUUUAGUUUUAAACUUUUUCAACUUUACACUAAUUUACUCCUACAAAUAAAAUACACUAUUUAACACAAUCCAUAAAAUUCAUGCUCAAAAAGGGAAGAUAUAAAUAGUAAAUGUGAGGCAAAUAAUGAUUACAAUAUAUAUUUUUGGCCUCACAUCAACACCCACACUUUAACUUUUGUUUGUACUCGAGCAAACAUUGAAGCUCAUCUCAAAAACUCAUAUUAGGAAUGUCAUCACUUUGGUUUAUACAAACAAUUAGGCCAUAUACCAAUUUCAAAACAUCAAGUACACUUCUCAAUCAUUAUGCAAAAACAUCCAUAUAAACAACAAACCUCUAACCUCCUAACCUCAAGGAAGGACUUUGAACUCAUCAAAUUUAAGCUUGCUCCCCUACUUUUAUCAAAGACAGUUAAUAAAAUCAUCUAUCCAUCACGAAACAAAUGUCUUCACAAGAAGAAAUAGUCCACACACUCAAUUAAAAAGAUUGAAUAUAAAUUAAGGACUUCAUAUCAAGAACAACUCUCACACUCACAAAGAAAAUUCACAUGUAUGCACAAAGAACUAUAUGCUUGUCCAUUAUGUACAUCUCUACUAAUUAAGCAUGCUUGAAUAGAAUCAAAUAAGACUUUGACGGGUUGUAAUGUAGGCUAGGGGACGGAUAGGAAAAUUAUAUAAUAAUGACUUACACUUUAUUAAGCACUUUGCAAUUUUAGACUUCAUCACCCAUUAUUUUCUUCUCUUUAUUGUCAGCCCUCUCUUCAACAAUUAUUUCACAAGUAAUUCUCAUCAUAUCAAGAAUGCUUCAAUCAUUUUUUUUUUCAUGUCACAUUCUUUCAAAGAAGAUCUUUUAAGCCCUUUGUAGCUAUCAUUGAUUACCUUUUCACUCAAUCAUCUUUUUUUCUUCAGAAUUAACAAUUAGAAUAAGUCUAUGCUAUAAUGCUCAAGGAAGCAAGGUGCAAAAAUUAGGGAUUGAACAAAAGAGUUGAAGGAAAAAUAUGGCUACCAACAAAAGGGUACAAGCUAAAAAGGGAUAAGUAGUGAUAUAAUAUCUUAAAAGACUAAAAUUUACUAGACAAAUCAAAGAAAGCCUAUUAUCAUCUCCUAAACAAAGUAACAUUUUUUAUUUCGCUUCAAUAACACACAGGGCAAGUUCUAGACUAAGAUGCAAAAUAUGGAAUAAACAAAUUCUCACCACACAUGGCACAAAUAUCAAUCAUGAUAGAUCAAUUCCACUUCUAAGAGAGACAAGAUCAUAACAAACUACAAAAUAAAAUAAGCUAUAUACAAAGUCACAACCAUGAGCUUUGGUCUCAAAGAGUCUGCAAUUUCCUUAUCAAUCAAGCAUUCACAAGAAAGUACUACUAAACAAUUAGACCUAAAUAGCAAGUAUCACACCACUCAAAGGGGUUUUUUCUUUUCUCUCAAAAAAAAAAUUAAAAGAAAAAUUAUUCCUAAAAAAUUAAAAGACACUCGGUUCAAAGAGACUAUCCUUAGGAAAAGAACCGAAAACAAAAGCCAAGAAACCCAUCCUAAAAAGAAAAGACUCAAUAAAACAGUAAAAACUAGGAAUUCAUUCCUCCACCCCAUACUUAAAAAGAUGCUAUGUCCCCAAAACAUCAAGUAAAAUUUAAAACAAGGGUUAGAAAAACUCCCUGAGGCCUUUAGGCCUAGCUAGUAGUAUGUUCUCUUAAUUUUCAUCAAGAGUCGUCACCCCACACUUAAGCUCAAACGUGCUCUUUAGCUUCAAAUUUUGGAUACUCAAACUUCUCCAAAACCUGUAAAAACAACACAAAAAAAUGAGACUAAAAAAUAUAAGAAAUUACACUAUAAAUUGAGUUGCCUCCCAGUAAGCGUCUAAUUUAACGUCGCAGCACGACACAAGUAAAUUCACUACUUUUCUUUCCACUUUGAACUUAUGAAUUGUACCCCUAACUUUGCAUCUAUUUUUCUGCACCUCUCAAUGGGAGGUGGUAUAAACAUAAAGGAACCAAGUAAUAUAUGUCGCAUCUUGCACUUCUUGACCCUUAGGUGAGGAAUGUCGUUUUGUCUACGUGUACUAAAACACUUUAAGAUGUAGUGGCCUUGUACCUCAUCUAUUCACUCAUCCAUUAGUUCAGAUUUUAUAGAAAAGUGUUUUAAAUGAGAUUCAAGUUGGCUCAACUCCAAAGCACCAUUUUUUACAACAUUCUCACUUUUGUACUCUUUCUCAACAUCGAUAUUAAAGAAUAAGGUAUAGUUGAAUGGUUGGAAUUCCUCUUUUUUCUCCACUAGUUGGUCAUCAUCUAGACAAUUGGUAAUUGGGCUUCAGACGCCUUAAUCUUUUUGUUCAAGUCAGCCUCCAAGUCAUGAAUAUUUGAGCCAAAUUGAUCUAUUUCUUGUGUGAGCUCAACUCUUCCUUCAAUUAGUUGGGUUGUCAUGUAUGUGAGACCAUCACAGAUAGACUCUUCUAACUUUAGAAGUUGAGUUUGUCCUUGUUUCAAAAAUUGACUCACUAUCUCCGUUUCUCCAUAACUUUCUCUUUGUUGGGCUUCAAUCUCUUCUAAUUCAGUUUGGAUUGUAAUUUCUAAUUGAAUAGCGUCAAGCUUAUCCAGCAGUUUCAAGAUUUUUUUGUGCUCUUCCGUGCAUUCAAAUAUUUGUUCUGUGAAUUUUGAAUUAACUUUGUCCAACAUGUCCGUACAUUCCAUAAAUGAAUUCACAUUACGCGCCUCUUGUUUUGCAUUCUCCGCUUCAUCGCCCCUACCAACAUCACAAAUAACAGAAGGAUCAUAAUAGGGGUUCGGGGGAAGGGAAUAAGAUUUAGGACAACCAUUCCAAUGAAUAUAUUGACGACCACAUAUAUGACAUAAAGGACAUUCAUCACCCAACCACGAUUUAUUCUUAUCAUUCAUAUCAAUAAGAGUACCAAAUUAUUCAAAGAAAGAAAAAAAAAAUUAAUUGUUCAGAAAAAAAACUAACUUAAAAAAAAUAAAAAAAAAUAAAAAAAAAGCAAAAGUAUAACCUAGAAGAAUAGUUAAUUUCUAGGGCCCCGGCAGCGGCGUCAAAAAUUUGUUGCUCCCAAUUGCGCACACAAGUGUACGUGGUCGCACAAGUAAUACAAUGACUCUUAAAAGAACCAAAUUAUCGAACCCAAAGGACUUGUCGAUUAACUAUUUACUAAAUUAUACUAGUCUAAUUAUUUCUUUAAGAGUGCCAAAAUUGCUUGAUUUUAUUUAUAAAGAAAAAAAUGCAAGAAUGAAAUAAUAAUAUUCCUUAUAGUGAUUGGGAUAAUUCCAGGGCUACAACAUAUAUCGGAUUUCAUGUAUCGUAUAUCAGGCAAUGAACUAAUUUUGAUUAUCAAGUUACUGAUUUAUAGGGUUAAUUGUAUGAGUCGGGUCUCUUGACCUCUAGUCACCUACUCCAGUUAGCUGUCUAACUACAUCGUUGAGCGGGGAUAGCAGGCCUAACUGGUGAGCAUUUAUAUUUCAUCAUGUUUCGUAACCAAGCAAGUUGUUCCUCCGGGCGUCACUCUUGAACAUACAUCAACUCAAUGAAAGAUCAAGCUUUCUAUAUUCUCUUGUCUAUCUACCCUCUCCUCUCUCGAUUUUAAGAAUAGACAAUAUAUUUAUCUCUAGAUGGCCAGUCAAGAAAUACUAAAACAAGAAUAUAAAAGUAACUUAAACGAUAACCAAGAUUUUAUUCAAAAAUCUUUAAAAUUCAACAAUAAAUCCGUAGCUACAGCCCCAGAACAAGGGCGUUUAACCACUAAUAUCUAAGAAAAAAAGAAAAGAAAAGAACCCUAAAAAGUAUUUACAACUUUAUACUUUGAUGCCCUACGAUUGAUCUCCUCCUAAUUGAUCUACUAUAUUUUGAUCUCUCUAAUAAUUAUUUUCAUGAAUUAUUUAUAGAUAUAGAAAAUCCAAAAAAUAAUUGAGUCCAAAAUAAAUUAGGAACCCAAAACCUUAACAUAAUUGGAUUCCGCGUGAAAACCGUUUGCUGUAGCCGACUUCCAUUGGAAUAUUGCCUUCGUGGUUGACACGUGGCAUUUGAUCAUAUUGAAACUGCAACUUUUGAUUCCAGUGUAUAUUAUUUUAUAAAAUUUAAUUUAUUAUGCUAUCUGCUUGAUUUCCUACUUCAAUCUUUCACAUUUUUAAUUCGUUUUAACUCCAAACUUUUUUAAUUUUAUACCAAUUUACUCUUAUAAAUAAAAUACACUAUUUAGCACAAUCUAUAAAAUUCAUGCUAAAAAAAGACAAAUAUAAAUUAUAAAUGUGAGGUAAAUAAUGAUUAAAAUAUAUAUUUUUUGCCUCAUAUCAGGAAUCUAGAAACUUUAUAAAAAUGAGUUAUUGAGCAUAUGAACUGCUCAAGAGAGGUUAAUAGGGGUAAAACUAUGUGAAUGAGAGUGAGUUGAUCAUGAAAACCUCGGGUUUGAUAUAAUAACCUGUUAAUUAUUCGUUAGACCUUCCAAAAAGUUAGAAUUAGGUAAGUUUGAAUAUUCAAGACCUUCAUUUGAGUAAAUAGGAUAUCAAAAUAACCUUAUACUUUGUUGGUAUCAGGUUUUGAGCAUUUUGAGACAUUGAGGAAAGGGAAAGCUUGACAAUUUAGGUUGUUCGCUUUUCUAUUCAAAAAAUGAUAUAGUAAACUUAUCAUUUUAUUAAUUACUUCUUAAGGAUGUGUCAACUCAAAUAUGGACAAGUAAAAAUAGAUGGAAGUGUCAACUCAAAAUGGACAACUAGCCUACAAUUACAAACUAAAAAUAAAACUAAAAAUAAAACUAAAAUCAAAUAGUCUAACAAGACUAAAACUAAAACUAAAAUCAACUAGCUACAAUUGUGAACCCUCUUAGUCUUUAGGUUUUGAGUAAACAGGCGGCCUAGUGUGAAGUGGAUAGAGUACUGAUAAUUUGAUAUAGUUAUAGUGUCUAGUUAUAUAUUAAAUUAUUAAUAUUUAAUAUUUAGAAAGGAUAAAGUAGUAAUUAUUACCGUCUUAUUGGGUUAUCGGUUUACCCAAUAGAAAAAACCUAACCAAUAACCAAAUAGUAUUUUUAUAAACCUAUUAAAAACGCAAUAACCCAAUAACAAUUUUUCGGUUCGAUUUAUUGGUUGAUUCGAUUUUUACACACCUCUAAUAAUAGUAUUUUCAUUAGUCAUAACUCAUAAGGUCGAGCUGCUACAAUUAAGGAUUAAUUACCUUACUACGCAUCCUUUUUUACUCUAUUUUUCUAUUAUUCCCUACAAUUUCAAAAAAUUACAAAAAUCCCUCGUUUCCAUAAUUUCUCUCACUUUUUCGGACACAUCAUUGUAAACUAUUACCCCAAGAUUUUUUUUCCUUUUUUCAUGACUAAAAUCACGUAUCAUCAAUUAUCUCCAUCACUUUAUUUUUUAAUUUCAAAUCUUUUCUCUUUCUGAUUUAUCAACUGUAACACCCCAGAAAAUUUUUCGAACUAAGACUCGAACCGUUCUUCGUAGUGAGUGAGAUUUUACCAAGGAAUUAAAAAUUUCUUGAGUGUUAAGGUCACUAGAUGUAGCACCUUGAGUUUCAAAAAGAAUUAAAUUGGAAAUAGCAUAUGAGUUUUGGGUCGACUUCAAACGACCAUAACUCCUAGAUCAGGAUGAGUUAGGUGUGAUACCAGAUACCGUAGGAAAUACCUUUGAAUUAUCUUUCCAACGCCGCUGAGUUUGCUAAGUUUAGAGGUCAGAUGAGUGAGAUAUGACCUUUUAAAGUUAGGUUGUCCAGUUAAAGAAAGUCAAAACCGGGUUUUAGAGGGGUAUUUUGGUCUUUUCCUUACCAAAACAGAUUUGAUUCGUUUUUAGCAAUAUUUUAGGGGUCUAAUCUGAUUAGGUUCAGUUUUAUAAUCAUAAAAUUAGCCUAGGGUUUUAGUUGAGAGUUCAAGAAGAGAAAAGAAGAGAAAAGAGGAGAAAAGAGGAGAGGAUCAAGCGUUCGUCGAGAUUCUUGCGUCUUGUUGCGGAUUUUCGCUAUGAGUUUAAUCCCUAAGAGGUAUGUUAGCUUCCAUAGUGUUGGGUUCUUUCACCCACACACCAAUCAUGAUUUAUUCAGCGUAAUUUCGUUCUUGAAAAUUUAAAGAUUAGAGUUCUUGAUAAGUGUUCUUGAAGUUUCAUUAAGUUUUGAAGUAAGAUUCUGCUUAGGUCAACUUUAAACAACCAUAUCUCUUAGAAUAUUAAGAGUUACGUGAGCCAUAACCUAUCCAAUUAAAGGUAAUUCAAUCUACUUUCCAACCCCACCAGUUUCACGUCAAUCCAAUAUUUGAGUAAAAAUUUAUGACCAUUUUAGUAACCUAUACAGUGCUGUUACGAAUUAGCCGACGGGAAAAUAUUGAAAAUAAUCGUUUUUGUCUUUUUUACAUCCAAGAAAAACCAUCAACGAAUUUCUUGACCAAUAAAAGGCUCAAAACAAUCAGAUUUUCAUCUUCACUCAUGAAAAUCAUAAUUCUUGGCCAUGGAGAUUUCAAGAAACUAAUUCAAGAAUUUCAAAAAAAGGUUUUCUUGAUUUUUACCUUCAAGCUAGGGUUUCAAGGCUUCUAAUCAAGUUCUUAUUGUUCUUCUAGGUAUGUAAGGCUAUCAUAGUGUUGGACUAGUUCGUCCUCACGCCCUACAUAUACUUUCAGAGCAGAAAAAGAGUAAUCUAGGAUACUUUCCCUAGAUUUGAGUAUUCUUGAGAUAAGUUGAUUUUGAGCUCUUGAAUUCGUGUUUCUUUUAAAAGUUCUAUUCCUAAUUAUCGAGUAGCUAUAUUGUCACGUCCCGAGCUACCCCCGAGACGCGGACACGGGACCUAGNNNNNNNNNNNNNNNNNNNNNNNNNNNNNNNNNNNNNNNNNNNNNNNNNNNNNNNNNNNNNNNNNNNNNNNNNNNNNNNNNNNNNNNNNNNNNNNNNNNNUUGACCUCAUCAAUGAAGUUUUGUGGGUCUUCACCAAGUUGUGACACUAAAACUCGGGCGGAUUCAUCCUUAUAAAAAUCUCAAACUCUAGCUGCCACUGAUCCACCAUUUCUAUUAGUAGGAACUGGAACUUGCUGAUUGUUCUCGUUGGUCAUACCUGAGCCAAAAGCUGAAUUGGCAUUUCGAAACUCUGCAUUCGAAACUUCAUGAUCUGGGACCAGAAGAACUGCGUUAGCAUUGCGUGUAUUAGCAUUCCUUACCUAAGCUCUAUGAGAAGGCAUGAUCUCAAGCGCAUAAGGAUGGAUUAGAAAGGAGAUCAUCCCAACGCACGAUAAAAAUAUCAAGAAAGUGAAGCUUUUGCCUAAAACACUUCACAGCCUCCCUCUCAUUAGAUAUGGUGCACUUCACACCCAUGAAAAGGACUCUACUUAGUGCGGCUUUUCAGACAUCCUAGAACUCUUAAACCUAGUGCUCUGAUACCAAGUUUGUCACNNNNNNNNNNNNNNNNNNNNNNNNNNNNNNNNNNNNNNNNNNNNNNNNNNNNNNNNNNNNNNNNNNNNNNNNNNNNNNNNNNNNNNNNNNNNNNNNNNNNNNNNNNNNNNNNNNNNNNNNNNNNNNNNNNNNNNNNNNNNNNNNNNNNNNNNNNNNNNNNNNNNNNNNNNNNNNNNNNNNNNNNNNNNNNNNNNNNNNNNNNNNNNNNNNNNNNNNNNNNNNNNNNNNNNNNNNNNNNNNNNNNNNNNNNNNNNNNNNNNNNNNNNNNNNNNNNNNNNNNNNNNNNNNNNNNNNNNNNNNNNNNNNNNNNNNNNNNNNNNNNNNNNNNNNNNNNNNNNNNNNNNNNNNNNNNNNNNNNNNNNNNNNNNNNNNNNNNNNNNNNNNNNNNNNNNNNNNNNNNNNNNNNNNNNNNNNNNNNNNNNNNNNNNNNNNNNNNNNNNNNNNNNNNNNNNNNNNNNNNNNNNNNNNNNNNNNNNNNNNNNNNNNNNNNNNNNNNNNNNNNNNNNNNNNNNNNNNNNNNNNNNNNNNNNNNNNNNNNNNNNNNNNNNNNNNNNNNNNNNNNNNNNNNNNNNNNNNNNNNNNNNNNNNNNNNNNNNNNNNNNNNNNNNNNNNNNNNNNNNNNNNNNNNNNNNNNNNNNNNNNNNNNNNNNNNNNNNNNNNNNNNNNNNNNNNNNNNNNNNNNNNNNNNNNNNNNNNNNNNNNNNNNNNNNNNNNNNNNNNNNNNNNNNNNNNNNNNNNNNNNNNNNNNNNNNNNNNNNNNNNNNNNNNNNNNNNNNNNNNNNNNNNNNNNNNNNNNNNNNNNNNNNNNNNNNNNNNNNNNNNNNNNNNNNNNNNNNNNNNNNNNNNNNNNNNNNNNNNNNNNNNNNNNNNNNNNNNNNNNNNNNNNNNNNNNNNNNNNNNNNNNNNNNNNNNNNNNNNNNNNNNNNNNNNNNNNNNNNNNNNNNNNNNNNNNNNNNNNNNNNNNNNNNNNNNNNNNNNNNNNNNNNNNNNNNNNNNNNNNNNNNNNNNNNNNNNNNNNNNNNNNNNNNNNNNNNNNNNNNNNNNNNNNNNNNNNNNNNNNNNNNNNNNNNNNNNNNNNNNNNNNNNNNNNNNNNNNNNNNNNNNNNNNNNNNNNNNNNNNNNNNNNNNNNNNNNNNNNNNNNNNNNNNNNNNNNNNNNNNNNNNNNNNNNNNNNNNNNNNNNNNNNNNNNNNNNNNNNNNNNNNNNNNNNNNNNNNNNNNNNNNNNNNNNNNNNNNNNNNNNNNNNNNNNNNNNNNNNNNNNNNNNNNNNNNNNNNNNNNNNNNNNNNNNNNNNNNNNNNNNNNNNNNNNNNNNNNNNNNNNNNNNNNNNNNNNNNNNNNNNNNNNNNNNNNNNNNNNNNNNNNNNNNNNNNNNNNNNNNNNNNNNNNNNNNNNNNNNNNNNNNNNNNNNNNNNNNNNNNNNNNNNNNNNNNNNNNNNNNNNNNNNNNNNNNNNNNNNNNNNNNNNNNNNNNNNNNNNNNNNNNNNNNNNNNNNNNNNNNNNNNNNNNNNNNNNNNNNNNNNNNNNNNNNNNNNNNNNNNNNNNNNNNNNNNNNNNNNNNNNNNNNNNNNNNNNNNNNNNNNNNNNNNNNNNNNNNNNNNNNNNNNNNNNNNNNNNNNNNNNNNNNNNNNNNNNNNNNNNNNNNNNNNNNNNNNNNNNNNNNNNNNNNNNNNNNNNNNNNNNNNNNNNNNNNNNNNNNNNNNNNNNNNNNNNNNNNNNNNNNNNNNNNNNNNNNNNNNNNNNNNNNNNNNNNNNNNNNNNNNNNNNNNNNNNNNNNNNNNNNNNNNNNNNNNNNNNNNNNNNNNNNNNNNNNNNNNNNNNNNNNNNNNNNNNNNNNNNNNNNNNNNNNNNNNNNNNNNNNNNNNNNNNNNNNNNNNNNNNNNNNNNNNNNNNNNNNNNNNNNNNNNNNNNNNNNNNNNNNNNNNNNNNNNNNNNNNNNNNNNNNNNNUGAAGUUGACCAAUCAAUAAUCUUCAUCUAACUGACUGUUGACCCUCAUCUACGGUCAGACCUACGGACCGUGGAUCGAUUGACGGUUCGUGCUGGUCAACCGUCAAUCGGGACUGAAGCUGGGCUUUUGGGGCAUCGAUCCACGGACACGAACUACGGUCCGUGACCUGACCUACGGACCGUAAGUCCGGCCGUGGGUCAACACUUAGCCAAAUUUUCUGACUGAGUCUUGGAGGGGUUGCAGUGGUGAACCAUGGACCACCAGCGCGGGCCGUGGUCUGACCUACGGUCCGUGGAUGGUGACCGUAAGUUGCACUUGCAACUUCUCGAAAUCUGUAUUUUUUGUCUGUUUCGAAUACGGGGUGUUACAUAUAUUGUUAUUGAGAUCCUUCAUAUCAUGAAUCAUAACUCUUGAAUUCAUAAUUCAAAUUCAAGAGAGAGUUAAGAGUAGAGUUCAAAGAAGCAUUUGAGUUCAAUUGUGAAUCCUUUGAGAUCCAUCAUCAAUUUGAGUUAAGUUUUGAGUAAGUGAGUAAGAGAAUGAGAAGAGUCAUAUACAUGAGUUCCAUGUAGUUAUGUAGACCUUUGAGUCGAGUCGUUCAUGCCAAUAAUUUUGCAUGAACUCCAUAAAUUGAGUAUCAUUGAGAUGAGUAGUAUCUUCAAGUUCUAAGUCUUGAGUAUUGAGUUCAUAAUACCUUUUGAGAUUAUAUUCCUAAUCAUGGGACUAUUACAUGCUACCCAUGAAGUCCUUGAGUUGGGUUAUUCAUGUCAAUAAUUCCGCAUGAACCCUAUAAGUCGAGCAGUCUUGAAGCGAGAAGUAUGUUCGAGUCCUUGAGUUGAGUAGUUCAUGCUCAUAAAUUUCGUAUGAACCCUCUGAGUUGAGCAUUCUUGAAGUGAGUAGUACUGUUGAAGUUCUUGAGUUCCAAGUAUUGAGUUCUAUCUAUGGUUAUUGAAAAUCUUGCAUUGAGUCGUUCACGUCCAUAAUUCGGUAUGAACCAUAUUUUAAAAAGUCUUUUACAAACGUUUUAACUUUGUUUUAAGACUUAAGUUUUGAGUUAAGCAAAGAGUAAAGAGUAAAGAGUUGAAGUUCAUUUCUUCAAAAGUAUAUGGAGACUAUGUAUUCCCAAAAAGAGUUUAAAAAUGUUUUCACAUUUAAAUAAGAAUGGAAACUGAGAUUUCCAAAGAGCUUUCGGGCGAGUUUUUAGAAAACACUAAUAGCUUUCUAAAUGAAGCAAGCAGGAAAACUGAGAUUUCCAAGAUAGCCUUUGAGCUAAGUUUUGAGCAAUUAUCUCAAAUCACAGAAAGAAGUAUGUUUUUAAAACAUAAAGAGCUAGUAUAUUUUGGGAGUAGUAUUGAGCACCGAAUUGAGGGCGAGCAUGAGUUCAGAUAACUCACGUCUCCUGAAAACCAUGUAGCCACCAUGGGUAGAAAAGGGUCAUACUUUUUAGAUGAAUCCUUACAUCAGUUUAUUGUAUUUUUACAUACAUUUCAGACAUAUGUUGUAUCCUUGCAUACACAGAGAGUUUUCAGCAUGUUUUUAAACAAUUUGUUUCUUUAUACACUUAUUUUAAAUUGCUUUAUAUUGAAAUGAGUUCAGUUAUAUUGAGUUGAGUAUACAGAGUUGAGUACCCAGAGUCGAAUAACAUAUCUUUGAGUUGAGUAUCUUAUCCUUGAGUACUUCUGAGUUGAGUAAGUUUGAGUAGUUUUGAGUAGUUUGGAGUAUUCCUUGAGUUGAGUAAGAUUUGAAAAGAGUUAAGUAUGUUUCCUUUUAUCAAGUUUCAAGCUUAUGUUUAUGCUUUAGAAUUCCCCUUACAUGCUCGUACAUUCCACGUACUGAGUCAUUUGGCCUGUAUCUUCUCAUGAUACAAACACAGGUAUUGAUCAUGAUCGUCAAUAGGAGCUUCGUUGAUACAUCCGGGAGUUCGAGUUAGCUAUGGUGAGCCUCCUUGUUUCCGGAGGAUUUCAUUUACUUUUCAGUUUAGUCAGGAUGACGUGGGUCUUGUCCCGACUUCCAUCUUUAUCAGUUAGAGGCUUCAUAGAUAGUCAGUAUAGUUGAGAAGUCUAUAUUAUUCAUUUAUUUUAUUAAAUGUUUUAAAGACUUAAGUUGCCUAUUUUAUGGCGAGUUGAAUAAUUUAUUUUAUUCGGAGUUUUCUUUUGAGUUAAAGCUUUCUAUUUAAGUUUUAUGAACUUUUAUUUCAGUUUUUAAGCUUUGUAUGCUUGAUUCAGUUUUCCGCUUGUAGUCAGCCAGGAUGAGGAUUCGCUUGGGGACCAGCAAUGGUCUUCGAGUGCCGGCCACGUCCAGGGUGUAGGCUCGGGUCGUGACAUCAACUAUAAGUUAUUGAAGAGGUAGUUAUUCUUCAUCUUCUUCUUCAUCUAUUUUUUUCUUUCUACUUCAUCAAGUAGUCGAUUUUUUAUUUUUUUUCGCUUUUCCAUCUACAAAUUUAAUCAAAGAAGGAUGCAUCUUCAACUUCAAAAUCGAUUGUGGAAAAAACGCCCAAAAAAGGAGGAAAAUGUCGAGUUGUUGAUGGCUCCGCUAAGGGAUUUGGGUCGAGAUCUAUGAGUGACGCCAUUGUUGAAAGUGGAAAAAAAAACUACGGGAGUUGAUGUAGAGAAAAAGAGAAAGUGUAGAAGGAUUUCUUCAUCAUUUUUUUUUUUUGCUUUCAGCAAAGCAGAUUGUUGACUUUUUUUUCCGAAUUUUUGUUGUUCAUCUUUUUUAUGAUACAUAUGGGUUCAGAUCUUUUAAUAUAUCUAGUUGAUUUUGAUUCUUAAAUUAAUGUAUAAUUCGUUCGUUUCACCUUUAUGAUACAUUACAAUUUAAUCAUGUACAAUAUAUUGUUUCAAAUAUUAGUUGUGAUACAUAACCCUAAUUUAUUGAAACACAAAUUACUAUGUAUCAUGUUCAUAGUUAUGUAUUGGAAACACAAUUAUUACAAAAUUCGUUAUCUUUUUACUACCGACACAUACACCCUGCCUUGUUUAACUAGUAGAAGGCUAUGUAUCGGUAGACACUAUCAAAUAUUACUAUUGAUACAUAAACACUAAUGUUUUAUAACAAAAUCAGUUUGUAUCAUAUUCAUAGUUAUGUAUAUGAUACAUAACUUUGUUAUGUGUAUAACAUAGUUAUGUAUCAUGAUGUUGUGAUGUAUCGCAUGUUGUUAAGUAUCUGCAACACUGUUUUAUCAUAUUCAUAGUUUUUUUUUUGUACAUGAUACAUAAUUAUAUAAAAUUGUCGAUUUUCUUUUAAUCUGUUAUAAUUUGGGAGAGAAUUUGAGAGAAGAAAAUUUGAAAUUUGAAUUGUUUGGAGCUGUUAUUUGGGAGAGAUUGACAUCAAUUUGAUUUGCAUGAUUUGGGGAACUGACAUUUAAUUUUAUAUUUAAUUUCCUUUUUAAUCUCAACAAAGUAGUUGUAUAAUGUAUCAGGAUGAAAUUUAUGUAUCUGGAUGACUGAUAUUUGAAGCGAUUUUUUAUAAAAUAGAAAAGAGUAGGGAUAGAAUGUAAUUUAGGUCUUACACUAUGACAUUUAUGUAAGUUAUACUAGAAUUAAAGAAACAAGAAAAAGGUCAUAUUUGUUACUCAACUAUGCUAAAUGGUUCAAAAAAAUAAAUUCUCCAUCAGUAAUUGGGAUCAGAUCUACGUACCUUCUCCGUUGCUGAAGUUGUCCAAAUUUUCCCUUUGUAGAACAUGUUUAACAUAGAUUAGCCAUAUGGCUCAAACUUAAGCCUCGUAGUUCAAAAUAUGCGAGGGCAAAUCUAACCUCAAUUAUUAAAGAAGGAUAUAUAUAUAUAUGUGUGUCACGAAAUUUCAUAAUUCAAAAAUCGAAUUUCAGAAUUUUCGAAAAUUUUAAAAACAACAAAAGAUGCUUCACUUUUUCCAACUUCAAAUAACUCGCAGAAAGUCAAUUUUAAUUUGUAUUCAUGGCCAAAAACAACUGAAUCCAACUUUCAAAUACCAUUUUUCACUUUAAAAAUAAACUUUUUUUAAAAAAAAUAAAAUGAAAUCGCAAUGAAAUAUGGACAAAUGAUCACUAAAUACAAUUUCGAUUUAAAGAUUAGUCAAACUGACUCUCAUGACCAGUAAAAGUAUAUCGAUUUUGAAUUAUAAAUGUGGACAAAAGCACAAAAGCGACGGGAGUGAUAAUAUGAGGCUGGAGUUACGUAGGGACUAGCACUCCCUCCACAAAUAAUUUAGUAUAGUUAACAAAUAAAAUAUACUAUAGAUUAGUUUUUUUUCCUUUGGGUGAUCAAUUUGGAUGAUAUAAUAUGGUAGGAAGAAUGUUGCAACAUACAAGGACAAAGAGCAAGACAGUGUUCCUUAGCAUUCCAUAAGUCACAAACAUCCAAAUCUCCAGAUAUAAAAUAGAUGCCAAGAAUAAAAACAAACACACUUGCACAAGAAUCCAUAUCCUAAUUUUGAAAGCUAUGUCUAUAUAUUAUUAAUACAUAUUUUGGACUUUAUCUUACCUCUCCACUCAUUUUCUCUUUCUUACUUCUGGACCUAUUAGUAUUUUGAAAUGAUUCCCUACGUGGACCCCUUGAUCUCUUUCUAUUUCAAACUUUUCGAUGCAUCUAAUAGUAUCAAUUUUAUGCUAUCAAGUAAGUCCAUACAAAAUUAAUUCGUGACAUUUUGUAAAAACUAUAAUAAUUAACUACCUUGCAAGGGUUUGAAAAUCAUCAAUUUAAAAUGCUUUAAUUAAAGCAAGAAAAAUCAGGGUACCAUGAAAAAAGGCCAUAUCUAAAAUAUGUAAUGUAUGCAGUUUAUUCUAAUCUUAAAUAUCAGUCGUUGAUUUCAUUAUUUAAAGUGAAGAUAAUUUUAUCGUUGCUCCGAGCAGGAGAGCCCGACUCUAAAAGGUUAAACAAAAGGCAAGGUGCCUUAGACCUCCAAAUUUAAAGGGUUUCAUUUUAUUUUAUUUUAAUAAUAAUAUAGGUGUUUUUUCAGGAAAAAAUAUUGAAUAAGUACUAUUUCACACAUUUGGAAUACUAUCUAGAAAAAGACUAAAAUGGAUUGACUAUAUCAACAAUUUAAAAAGAAUCAUUAAAAAAGUUAAUUAUAAAAAGUUAUUAACAAUUUUGCAUCUCAAAAAUCUAGAAGAAUAAAUUUCAAGAAAAAUAUAUAUAAAUUUAUUUUUAAAAUUGUAAUUAAGGCUUUCAUUUGAUUUUCACUUUUAGAUCAUAAUGUGCUUGAGACGCCUCUAGCUCAGAGACUAAACACAAAAAAGGAAGACCUCAAAGAAGAAGAGAAACAAAAGAAAUGAAUACAUUGGAUACCAGUAAAGCUAGCUAUUCAUAAUCUUCUCUACAUUUUUUUCAAUAAGUUAAAUAAACAAAACUAAGUUAUACAACACUUUUAUUCCUUUCCUUGUCCUUCCCUAUCUCUUCUAUAUUUACUUUUUUUUUAACUCAACUUUUCAUGGAAAAAAAGAAGAAGAACAUGUCUCCUCUUUUUCUUUCUUUCCAAAUUUUCAUUCUUCUUGUGAAAUUUUCGAAAGAAACAUCUCCUUUAUGCCUCUUCCCCCUAAUUUCCAUACAUUGUCAUAUUCUUCGUAGAAGCUAAGAGAACGUGUACACGUACAUAUAUAAAUAAAAUUUCAAGGUCUUCAAUCUUGUAGCUCUUAAACUUGUGUUGUAGUAUUGUGUUGAUCAUGAAGCCAAUUUGAGAAUGUUUGAAGAGUGUUCAUAUCAGCUCUAUAAUGUUUUUGAGUAAAUUCAAGGAGAGUAGGCCAUGUGAAAUCAGGAUAUAUUCGAGGGUUGUUGGAGUCCACCAAUUCAUUUGGUGGGCUCACCACCUUAUCUUUGUUUGGACAAAGAAAGAAAGCUAGUGAUUUCCUAGGAGUCUUGUUGUUUACUACUGCUCUGUGCAGGCAACUUUUGUAUCUUCCAUUUGAUAGCGCCUGCAAAAGGUAAAAAAAAAUAAUGUUUAAACCCCACUAGAUCAAAUUUAUGUGACCACUUUUUCACCUAUAUUUCAACUUGUUCAAUGGAGUAUAUAUAUGUGGACAUCAUAUUCAUGUUGUACGUCCUAAUUAAACACACAUGAUAUAUAUCAUUUCAUCGUUACAAUGUGAAAAUAUCUUACCAUAAAUGUGUCGCCUAUGUUAACCACAAAUGCAUUGAAAUUUGGACUGAUGGAACGCCAUUCAUCGUCCACAAAAACUUGAAGUCCGCCAACACAAUCUUGAUGGAGAAUUGUUAAUGAUGUUGGGUCACAAUGAGGCCCCGUUCCUAAGGUGAGCUCCGGUUUCUGACAUGGUGGAUAGUAGUUGAGUCUCAUUAUCGAAUCAUUUUCUUCGAAAAAUUCUUUGAAGUGGCUCUUCUCUACGCCUAGGCUCAUCCCUAAGAGUUCCAUGAUCCCAAGAGAAAGUGUGUUCAUGGAAUUGCAAUAUUCUUGAUAAACAUUCCUAUAUAAUUUAAGUGGAAAAAAAGGUUAACUCAUUUACAUAUAUAAUCGAGAAUAUGUAUAUAUAUAGUGCCUCUAUAUCAAAUUGUUUAUCUGGUUUUGAGUGACACAAAAUUUAAAAUAAUAAAGAAAUUUUUGAAUCUUGCAGUCAGCUGAAACAAAUAAAUAUAUUGAAACGAAUAGAGUAGUACGGUCCGUACCCAAGAUGGUUAAAACUUUCACCCAAUGUCCUUUGAAAAUACUCUUCAACUAUGUGAGAUGAUUCUUCUUCAGCAGAGUAACGAAAAGAGAGUGUCUCUUUCCAAGGUAGCUUUGACGAAAACCUUCCAGUAAAGCUACUAGCAUAACCACAAUGCUCACCAAUUUUCCUCUGAGCCUUUUGCUUUUCCAAAAGCGGCAAGUCAAAGAACGUAUCCAUAUAACGAUGAGCAUUAGAAAUAAGAUUAGCAUCAACUCCAUGGUUCACCACAAGAAAAAAGCCAUGACUCCGACACGCUUCUCCAACAAGCUUAGAUGCUUGUUGGGCCGCGUCAGAGUCACCAGAAAGAAAACCCCUUAAGUCAAUAAGGGGUACGUGAAGUUCUUGUACUACGGCACAAGGCUUCUCGUGGUCGGGCCAUAUGAAUUGUGUGGGAAUAUUAGACUCACGUUUCAUAUGCGAUGCAUCAAAAAUAAAUUGUUUUGUUUCAUCUAUCAUUGGAGAUUUUGCAUUUGUGAUCAUACAAUCAAUAGCCAUUAUUGCAUGCACAGAGUAGGAGUAGUAGUUAAUUUGUGAAGAGCCAAAAGUGAAGGAUAUAUAAAGAAACUAAAGAGAGAGAGUUGAGAUAAAGGAAAAGCCAAGGCCGUUCAUUGGGAAAAUAGGUGAACAAAAAUUGGAAUCUUAUAGGUCUCUCACUUAACAGAGAAAAUGAAUAGUUUGCUAAAAAGGGCUUAGCAAUGCUUAAAAUUGGGAUAGAGGUCCUUAUGUUGUUUGUCUUUUUUACUAUUGACAUCAUAGAAGAGUUUCUCAUAUAUUUUAAAUUAAAUUUUAAAAAAUUAUGUUUGAUAGUAAUAGAUUUUGAAUUGGAUUUUAAAAUUUUAUUUUCAAGAUACUAAUUAUUUACAAGUUUCAAAAAGUGGUCACAGAAAUUUCACUUGGGAAAUCUUGUAGCUCAAUUGAUUGAAUAUUUAAACUCCCAUUUUACUAGUGAAAGUUCAAUUCUCCACUUUGUAAUCCUCUUCAUUUUCACUCACUUAAGUAUUAUUUUUAUUUUAAAAAAACUAAAAUACAUUUCUAAACACAAUUUUAAGUUAUGAAUAUAUAACUUCAAAAAUUUCAUUCAGAAUUUAAAUUUUAACUUUAAAAUUUAUGAUCAAAUGAAAUAAAUUUGCGGAGAAGUUGAUAAUGGUUAAAAUAGAGAUAAAAGGUUCAUAUGUUGUUUGUCUUUUCUACUGUUGGACAGGAAAGCGUUUCCCAAUGGUGUUUGGAGUUUCCUUUGGUCGGGUGAUUGAGCCAUCACCAUUCACCACCCAACCUUUUUUAUUGAAGCAUACUCUUUUCAUUCAUAACAUUAACAUAUUCCUCAUACCGUCAUCACUGGCGUCACCUAACUAUUUGACUUGACACGGUUAUUUUUUUAUUUUAAAAAUAAAUUUUUAUUUUUAUUUAUCACAUUUUACAUAUCAAUUUUUAUUUUUAUUUUAUAUUUAGAAUUCCUUAUUUAUCUCUCAAAUAUUUUUUCAAGACCUAAUUAGUAUUCUUUAUUUAUUUUCCAAAUAUUUUUUCAAGACCUAAUACUAAUUAGAACAGUGUGCUAAGUCAAAAAGUGAUAAGAAAAAUUGAACCGAGAUUGAGAAUUUAGUGGGGGUGCUAAGACUUCUUAUCCUAAUGAGCAUUGAUUGAUAAUUUAGUUGGAGGUGGGGUGGGGGCUGACAGGGUCGUCUCGACCAUAAGGCCACUAAAGCAAUCGCUUGGGGUCUCAAUUUUUUUGGGGCCUCUAUUUUCUCUCAAAGAUAUGUGUAUAUAUAUUGUUAAAAAAAAUUCAUGUAUUGAUAAAUUUGAAAUUAUUUUUUUGUAUAGAAAAUAUAAUUGAGAAAUUGAAUAUUGUUUAGUUGAUUGUAGUGUCUUUUCUAGAUUCUUAUGUGGCUAGUUAAUUGUAGUAUCCUUUCUAGUUUCGCAUGUGGGUAUGUAUUUUGUUGUCUAGCUCAUUUAUAUUUUGACGAUUAUCAUGAACCAACAAUAUUGUGUUCUUAUACUUAUUUUUCUUUAUUCUCCUUUCACUAUUUUUCAUUCUUUCAUUAUUGAAUAUUCUUAAGUCUCUCAAACGUUCAAACAUUCUACAUUAUGUGAUAUCUAUUGUUGUGUGUUUAUAAAAAGAUCAAAUUUGUUUUUGGUGUCUUAUUAAAAUUUCAAGCACUAAAACUAAUCAACACUAUUUUAAUAUUAUUUAUUAACUUAUCAAAUUCAUCGCUACACUAUUUUAACAUCAUCAUAUUUUUAAAAUUUUGAGUCAUGUUUUAUUAUUCCAACUUUAUAUUAUAUAAUUUUCAUUGAAAUUUACAUUAUUUGCAUUCUUACUUCAUAAUGUCUACAUAUAUCCUGCUCCUCCAGACCUCAUUUGUAGGAUUACACUAGUAUAUUAUAAUUAUUCAAUUUAUAUUUAUAUCAACUAAAAAAAUUAGGGCCUCUUUAUAAUGUUUGGCUUUAGGCCCCUAAACUUGUUGAGACGGCCCUGAGAGAGGGAUGAGGGGGUUAGAGUUACUUUUUAAGUAUAUUAUAAGUUAUAAGUUGAUUAUACUAAAUUUUUAAUUUUUAACUUAUAUUAUAUAUUUUAGGCCUAAAAAUAAGUGUUUAAAUUAUUAUUUUUGUCUUUUUCCAAACAACUUUCAAAAAUAAAAAAGAGUUUAAAAGUCAAAAAUUAUUUUAGAUAAACCAAUCAAAAUACCCUCUUAUUAAAAAUAAUUAUUAACAUAUUAUAAUAAAUUAAAUUACAUUAAUAAUAUGAAGAAAAUAAAUUUAACUUGUACGCCCCUUUUUUUAUUUAAGGAGAUUCUAUCCAAUUAUUAAUCGCGAUGCGGAAAAGAGCAAAGAAAGAAAAGUUGAAGACGGUUUUACGAUACGAAAGAACCCCUCUUAUCUUGUGGCUAGCAGAGGCGAAUCUAGAAUUUGAAGACUUUGGAUGCACCAAUAUUACCUUAGCUUAAAUAUGAGCUCUAAUAUAAACUUAAAAUAAAAAUUGUGAAAAAAACAUUCUAGCUAGAUUCAAACUCAAGUCUCAUGGGUAGAUCCUCUAGCUUGUACCAACAGCACACUGACACUCCUAUGCUUUGCAUGGAUACACUGUUAAUUAUAUCUUAAUUUAUGUAAGUUUCUUAAAAUAGAUAUACAUAUAUGUAUAUGAUUUUUUUUGAAAUUAACGGAUGCACGUGCAUCCCACCUAGAGGGGUACAUACGGUGGGUCAGCCUCUGGAAUGGCUAGCAACAUCAAUACUCAUGUAUCUAAGUUUGUGUAAUUUAUGUAAAUUUCUUAAAAUAGAUAUAUAUAUGUACAUGAUUUUUUUUUAAAUUAGCGGAUGCACGUGCAUCCCACCUAAAGGGGGUACGUACGGUGGGUCAGCCUCUGGAAUGGCUAGCAACAUCAAUACUCAUGUAUCUAAGUUUGUGUAAGUUACCUAUUAAAAUACGUAAAAAUAAUCUAACAAUAUUAUAUAAAGACAUAAUACAUAAACAUGACUCUUAACUUGACGUCAACCGGCAAUUAUGACCUUUAAUUUUGGGUGUGCAUAAGUAGACACUUAAACUUGUAUAAAAUUGAACAAAUAGACACAUUCAUCCUACAUGACACCCUAUAUGGCAAGUUUAUGUCCUAUGUGGCGUCCUACGUGUAUAAUGUCAUGUAGGACACGUGUGUCUACUUGUUCAAUUUUAUACAAGUUUAAGUGUCUACUUGUGCACACUCAAAGUUGGAGGGCAUAGUUAUCCGCUGAAGCCAAGUUAAGGAUCAUGUUUAUAUAUUAUGCCUUAUAUAAAUUAGGCAUAAUACAUAAAUAAGACCCUUAACUUGGCUUCAAAUUAUAACUUUGACCUUAACUUUUGAGUGCACAAAUAGACACUUUAACUAUCCAAAACUUAAACAAAAAAACACUCGGAUAUUUCAGGCAAAAUGUGUGAUAUACAAAUGCGCUGACGUGGAAAAGUGAACCACUCCAUUGCUGCCAACUAACUAAAAUAAAUACACCUAGAUUUUAAAAAUAAAUUAUAAUAUAGGGUGUGUUUGGUAUGAAGUUUUCUCAUGUUUGGUUGGGUUAAAUGUUUCGGAAAAUGUUUUCCACCCCCCACCCACCCACCCACUCCCUACCANNNNNNNNNNNNNNNNNNNNNNNNNNNNNNNNNNNNNNNNNNNNNNNNNNNNNNNNNNNNNNNNNNNNNNNNNNNNNNNNNNNNNNNNNNNNNNNNNNNNNNNNNNNNNNNNNNNNNNNNNNNNNNNNNNNNNNNNNNNNNNNNNNNNNNNNNNNNNNNNNNNNNNNNNNNNNNNNNNNAUGCUUUCUGUGAUUAAAAUUGAGUUUAAGGGUUAUUUUGGUCAUUUAAGGAUUUUUCUUUAAACUUCAAGCUUUAUUAAUAGUGAUGUAUUCAUUUUAGAGUUAACAUGAACGUUUACUACCAUAUAAAUAUAUAUAAUUUAUUCAAAUUUAAAAUUUAAAACUAUUUAUUUAAGGUCAGUUAAAAAUUAACUUUUAUAAAAAAAAAUUGUAAUAAUUAUUAAAUGUCACUUGCAUUUUGCAGUGAACAACAAAUAAUGCAAAAAAGAGGGGAAAAUUGUUGAAAAAAAUAGAAAGAGGGUUUAAUUGUCCUUUCAAUGCUUUUUUUACUGUUGGCCCCCUCAAUUUUUACAUCUGACGCGCCUAAUUUGUGUGUAUUUCACGCAUUUUGCCAGGUAGGAUCCGAGUGUUUUUUUGUUUAAGUUUUGGAUAGUUAAAAGUGCCUAUUUGUGCACUCAACAAGUUAAAGGUCAAAGUUAUAAUUUGAAGCCAAGUUAAGGGUCUAAUUUAUGUAUUAUGCCUAUAAAUUACAUUUCUUUCACGAACUAGAACUAAACAACGUAGCGCAUGUACAAAUUCAUGUAACAUGUAAAGUCUUCCAUUCGAAUUCUAGCAAAAAUAACAUUUUUAACUUAAAAGAUAAAAAUAAAAUUUGUAUUUAUUUUGUUUCUUUUUAGAUUUCAUUUAUAUAGUUACAUUGAAUUUAUUAUUCUUGUUUGUGUGAUCGCCAAGCCUAUGCCAAUAAAUAUUUUGCUAGACUUGUAAUGAUAAAGUUUCCGUUUAAAAGAUUCACAUAAAGAAGAAGAGGAAUGUUUUAUGACACCAGUGUAAGUCUAUCACUCUCCUAUUUCAAUUUAUUUUAAUUACUAAUAUAUAGUAACACAAAUAUUUAAGAUUUAUUUUAGAUCAUAAAUUUUUUUUAAAUUUUUUUUUUCUUAAAUUUUAUACUAAGUAAAAACUUAAACGAUAUCACAUAAAUUAAAUAGAGAUAAAAUAAGCUUAGGUUCAAAUGUCGUUUAGUGCCUUUGUCUUCUCCUUUUUGCAGCCCCCAAUAUGUUUACUUAAGAAAGCUAAUACUUUCUCAUUUUUCUUUUUAGUUAAUCUAAAAAGGAAUGACACAUUUUUAUAUUAUUUAAAAGUUUAAUUUUAAAAUAUUUAUUUUAUCUUUAAUAUAAUGUUUUAUAGUCAUACAGACAUCUAUAACUUAUUUAAGACCAUAAUUAUCAAAAGUUUUUUUUUCUUUUAUAAAUUUCAAGUUAAAUCAAACUAAACGGGAUAAAUAUAACAACGAAAGCAAGGACAGGGGAAGCCGUAUCAUGCCGACCUGUAAAUAGACAGUUUCUAAUUUAAAUUAAAGAAAGAAACGCUCUCUACAUUAAUUUCAGUAGUAAUCUCUUUAAUUUGCAACAAGUUAACAAAUAUGAGCAUUUAAUACAUCAUGAUGAUCCAUUGAAUGAGACGUACAUAUAAAAUAAAAAAAAUAAAAAAAGGAAGAAAUUAAAGCAGUAAUAAUGAACCAAGCAAGAGGGGAGGGGAUUGGUGGCUGUUCACAUUUAGCCAUAAGGUGGAGAUUGUAAGCUCUAUAACCGGUUGACCAAGCUUUUGGGACGUCAAAAUUACUUAUUUUAAAAAACGUGAAGUAUUUAGCUAAGUAUUAAAAGAAAAAAAAUAUGCUUAUGAAAUAUGAAGAGUAACAUAGAAAUUAUUUUUCAAAAUAAAUUGAUUUUGAAAGUUUGACCAAACAUAUUAGCAGUCGUAUUAAAUGACACACACAAUAAUUGGACCUAAAGAAAAUGACAAUUAGCAAAACAAGAUAUUGGAACUCUAAAGUUUGAAGAUAUAUAUAUAUAUAUAUAUAUAUAUAUUAUAUAUAUAAUUUUAAAAAAAAGGAAAUUUGAGUUUUACCAAUGACUGUCAGCAUCUCUCAAGUGUAAAAUCCAGUUUCAGCAUGAAAGGUGAAAGGAAGUAAUGGAGCUUGAGGGUGACAUCUGGAGAAUUAUAAGCUAUAUAUUAUGCUCUUAAUUAUAUUUAUAUGUAUAUAACAGCUAUUAAUGUGCUUAUGGUUGUCAUUUUUUUAGAGGAGAAUUACAGAGGAUGUAACAUGUCUAUAUUUAUUUUUUAAUAAAAGUUUGUCAUUGUGCUUAAUUAAGCUAAUUUAAUUUACUUUAAAAUGUGCAACUUGUAUAUAUCCGUUAAGAGUAUCUAGCUAGAGGAAUUAAUGUUGUAAAUCCAGGAUUCCUUCUUUAUAGAAUGCUAUUUUCCAAAAAUCAAACUCACACAAACCAAAUUAUUUUCCAUUGCAAACAUUAUACUUAUAAUAUAAUUUAAUCUUGUGAUCGACAGGCUUGCACCAUAUAUGAACAAUCUAUCAAGUUGUCCCUUGGGGAACAUCCAAUAAAAUUGGAACAAAAAAGCUAUCAAGCUAAUCAAAUAGGUAGAUCUCACACUGAUGACUUCGUCUCGGAUUAGUGAGGGUUCGAUUCCCAUCUUAUACUAUCCCUUCUCCCAUUUUUUCUUUUUCUAUCUGCAAUUUUAUUUUAAUUUAGAAAUAAAAUCCUUCGCUGGUAAUGUAAAGACAGAGAAUUCCUUGUGAGUCCUUUUUUUCAUUUUUUUUUUGUCUAAUGUAAAAUAUAAAAGUUCGUCAUAAAAAGAUUAAAAUUAUUUUGAGCAAUUUAUAUACAAACUUUUUUCUUAUGGGAUCAGAAAUUGCUUUUAAGGUAGUGGCUCGCUAGUCGCUACAACACAACGUAUUAAUUAGUAAAUUUUUCAAUUUGUUUGUUAUUGACAAUAUUGUAAUACUUUUCCAAUCAUAUAAGUGGCCUAUAUCAAGAGUAACACCCAUAAAGUAAAAGAAGUCACCAAGUCAUUAAUCUUAUAUGGCUCUAAGUGGCUUAUCGCGAUGUCUAUUAUGAUGAACAUUAAAUUGGCUUACUUCCCAAAGUUCUAUGAUCACGCAUUAUGUAUAAUGAAUCUCAAAGACUAAUCUAAUAUAGGUUACGAUAAAUAGUAUUCAUCAUGAUAUUAUUGAUGUAACGAUCUAAUCUAAUAGUGAUAUUAUGACCUAGAACCGCACGACUUUAAAACACGUCAGUCAGUAGUGUGUAAGGUUUAUUUACUUUACUUAUAUACUCAAUAUCGUUUUUUUAUAUUCAAAUUACAAAAAUAAAAUAAAACUAUAUAUACAAUCAUUUCCUCUUUGAAUAGACUGGGCAUUUCCAAACACACCCCACCCCACACACAUUGCCUUUUGAUUGAGUGCGGGGGUAUGGCAUUGAUGUUGGGAUUUGUAUGAUACUGACAUUUUGAAAGUACUAUAUAUAUUACUAGUUAGCAACUAUAAAACAGAAGUACAUGAUGCAAUAUGCAUAAUACAUCAUAGUGGAACUUAUCUAUGAAAGCACAAACAUAAUUUCGACAAAUUAAAGUCAGCUUGGCAUUAUAUUAGUGAUUUUUUUUGCUUUAUCAAGACAACUAAAUGAAACAAUGAGAAAACAUAACCUACUUUAACAUAGUCAUGUCUAACUAUAUAUAUAUAUCUAUAUAUAUAUAUAUAUAUAUAUUGACUUCAAUACUUAAACAGCACAAUAUAAUUUUAUAGGUAAUGAUGAUAAUGUUUGAGCAAAUUAAUCCUAUCUAACAAUUAAUAUUUGUCGGUCAUGUCGGUAUAACAAAAAUAACUGUAAUAAAUACGUAUAUUAAUAAAGAGUGUUAAAUAUUUAUCAACAUGAGUUAAUUGUCAUUGGAUCCAAUGUUGCUAUGGACUUUAGAGACAUUUACAAAGAGUGUUAAUUGCCUCUAAAAAUAUAUUUAGCGACAACUAAACUAUUAUCGUUAAUUAAUUACCGAUAAUGAAUAUUUUUUGUGUAGUAUCCGUUGUCCUGGCCAAUCUCAGGCUCAGGUUAAAGGGAUCCGUUCAAAAUUAGCCAAAAACUUUAAUCAAUUAGCCAACAGAGAGGUUUUAUAAAAAUUAAUAAGUUAUUAUUCGUCCAGAGACGAAUAUAUUGUUUAUAGCACAUGCUUGAUAUGUAAAUUCACUAAAUUUAUUCCAAAAUAUGUCUUUAAAGAUCUAUUUAAUAUAUAAAAAUUAUAAUAAAGAUAGUAUUUUUCUAGAUGUGAACAUGUUGCAUGAAAAAGAGAUUUCCAUAUAUUAGUUAGUGAUAGAAGUAGUUACAGUUAGUUAGUUGGGCACAUAAAUCAAAAUAACAUAGUUAGUUAGAAUUGAAUCCAUUUCAGUUGUAUUUUCAAUUCUAUAUAAAGUGUAAUACAGUUCUAUACAAGAUAUGAAAUAUACAGAUCACUUUUCUCUCUUCUUCUCUAUUCACCUCCAUUGAUUGAAUCCUCGAGUUUUUCCUGGACAAUCUUUCGAUCCUCGAAUCUUUAGGAUUCCUGCAAUCGAGCCACUAUCUAGCAACAUUGGUAUCAGAGCCACUCUUUUCUCGGCUACAAUGGUGAAUGGUACUCGAUCCAAUGGAGAUCCAAGCAAUGAGGUUGUCGAAACUGUGGAAUUACGUGAUAUGAUGCAGCAAUUACUCAUACAGGUAAACACUUUGACUGGGAAAGUUUCAUUGCUGGAAAAAUUAGAUCAAGCAAUGAUUAAUUUGAGGAAUCAAGUUACAACUGGUGGAAUCAGAGGGGAACAAUCAGAAGAAGGGGUACGUCGAGAAAGAGAGAACAAUUUUCACUCUCACCAUUCUAAUUUCAGUCGAUGGUCAAGGAUGGAGUUCCUGAGGUUUAAUGGAGAAGAUCUCAGAUCUUGGUUGUUUAAAAUUGACCAGUUCUUUUCCAUGGAAGGAGUUCCAGCAGAGGAGAAGGUUGGAGUAGCUGCUUUACAACUAGAGGGUGAAGCUAUUCAGUGUCACUUAUCUUUUAUGAGGUAUAGACAAUUUCUUCACCCUGCUACUUGGAAUGAAUAUGUGAUGGCUAUGGUCGAAAGGUUUGGGACUGAUUUUGAUGAUCCCAUGGAGGAGAUCAAGAAGGUUAAACAGAUGGGCAGUGUGAAGGAAUAUCAAGUUGUAUUUGAAAGGAACUUGACAAGGGUGAAUUUAUCACAGGAAAAUGCUAUCAGUUGUUUCAUUGGAGGACUGAAGCAUGAAUAAUUGAAUAUUGUUGUGAAGGUGACCAAGUUUACUGUCACAACCCGAGCCUACACCCUGGACGUGGUCAGCACUCGAGAACCAUUGUUGGUCCCCAAGCGAACCCUCAUCCUGGCUAACUACAAGAGGAAGACUAACUCAAGCAUACAAAAGCUUAAAACUGAAUAAAAUUCAAUAAACUCAACUUUUCAAAACUUUAACUCAAUGAACAACUUAGAAUAAAAAUAAUAUAUUCAACUUGCCAUAAAAUAAGCAACUUAAGUCUUUAAAAUAUUUAAUAAAAUAAAUGAAUAAUACAUACUUCUCAACUAUACUGACUAUCUAUGAAGCCUCUAACUGAUAAAGAUGGAAGUCGGGACAAGACCCACGACAUCCUGACUAAACUNNNNNNNNNNNNNNNNNNNNNNNNNNNNNNNNNNNNNNNNNNNNNNNNNNNNNNNNNNNNNNNNNNNNNNNNNNNNNNNNNNNNNNNNNNNNNNNNNNNNNNNNNNNNNNNNNNNNNNNNNNNNNNNNNNNNNNNNNNNNNNNNNNNNNNNNNNNNNNNUUGAAACUUGAUAAAAAGGAAACAUACUUACCUUUUCUAAACUCACUCAACUCAACGCAAGAAUAAGAUACUCAACUCAAAGAUUAGAUACUCGAUUUCAAAGAUUAGAUACUCAACUUCAAAGAUAUUAUACUUGGCUUGAAAUACUCAACUCUGGAUACUCAACUCAUGAAUACUUAACUGAACUUAUUUCAUUAUAAAGCAGUUUAAAACAAGUGCAAUAUAAAGAAAAGGAAAACUGUUUAAAACAUGAUGUCAACUCAUAAUCAUAAAUUCAUAAAAGACAUACUAUACUCCCUCUCAAAGUCUACUUGUGCAAUGCAUGGAUGAAGUCCCAUACCCCCAUUCAUACUAAGCAGAACCCCUUGAGGAACCAUGCAAUUACUACUGUGGGAGUUUCUCUAAUCAAUGCAAGGUUUUCAAUAACCAAAGAUAGAACUCAAUAAUUGGAACUCAAGAACUUCAAUUAUACUACUCAAUUCAACAAUGCUCAACUCAGAGGGUUCAUGGGGAAUUAUGAGCAUGCAUAACCCAACUUAAGGACUUCAUGGGUAACAUGCAAUAGUCCCAUAAUUAGGAAUGUAAUCUCAAAUGGGUUAGAAACUCAAUACUUAAGACUUAGGACAUGAAGAUAUUACUCCUCUCAUAGAUACUCAACUUCUGGAGUUCAUGCGGAAUUUAUGGGCAUGAACGACUUGACUCAUAGGUCUACAUAACAUUAUGGAACUCAUGUAUACAACUCUUCUCUUUCUCUUACUUACUUUCUCAAAACCUAACUCAAAUCGAUGAUGGAUCUCAAAGGAUUCACAAUUGAACUCAAAGGCUUUCUUGAACUCUACUCUUAACUCUCUCUUGAAUGUGAAUUAUGAAUUCAAGAGUUGUGGUUCAUGAUAUGAAAGAUCUCAUGAUAACAAAAAUAGACUCAUGAAUAUGUUCUCCAAACUCUUAUUCUCACUUGCUCGAGUCUUGAAACAAGUUAUUAGAAAUUGUAGAAGACUUCUCAAAAAGACUCGAAAGGACUUUCUCGAAAUGUUCGAAUGAACUCUCAAAACUUAACUCUUAACUCUACCUUGAAUUUGAAUUAUGAUUUCAAGGUUAUGAUCAUGUUAUGAAUGAUUUCUAGGUGUUUAGAAGUAGCUUAGAGUAUUUAUAAUCGAAAGGGAGUGAAGGUGCACUUUAAACGAACUCAAAUAGAGCAACCGAAGACAAACUGGAUGGGGCAGGCGACCCUGGCACUCUGAGUGGCGCAGGGCGCCAACCCCUAAACUUCAGAGGAGGGUUUGGGGCACUCGGGCUGGCGCAUCGCGCCAGGCCCCCAGCCCAGAAAACUCGACGAAAUUCUCUGCUCGUCUUCUCACCCUAAUUCGCCUAGAAUCGAACGGUUUCUUCCCCAAUCACUUAGAAUCAAUUACUUAACAUAAGUACACUCUAAUCUACUCAAUACAGCCCUUAAAACACUCACUUUUAUCUCAAGAAAUCAUCCAAAAUCCAACACAACAAGAUUUAGAAUGAACUUCAAGAACUCAAAUCUUUCAACUUUAAGAAUGAAAUUUUCACUGAAAAUAACAUGUUUGGCGUGUGGGUGAACAAACCCAACACUAUUGAAGCUUACAUACCUCUUAGGGAUUAAACCCAUGGCAAAAAAUCCGCAACAAGAUGUAAGAAUCUCGACGAACGCUUGAUCCUCUCCUCUUUUCUCCUAUUUUCUCUUCUUCUUUUCUCUUCUUGAACUCUCAACUAAAACCCUAGGCGUAAACUAGGAUUAUAAAACUGAACCUAAUAGGAUUAGACCCUUAAAAACUUACUAAAAAUGAAUUAAAUCUGAUUGGGUAAGGAAAAAACCAAAAUACCCCUCUAAAAUCUGGUUUUGACUUUCCUUAUCUAGACAUCCCAACUUCGAAUGGACAUAUCUCUCUCAUACAAACUCGAAACUGAGCAAACUCGGUGGCGUUGGAAAUAUAAUUCAAAUAUAUUUCCGAAGGUAUCUGGUAUCACACCUAAAUCAUCCUGAGCUAGGAGUUAUGGUUGUUUGAAGUAGACCCAAAACUCAUACUUAGCUUAACUUGCAAAAUUUCAGAUUUUUCUAUUUCCAAUUUAAUUCUUUUUGGAACUCAAGGUGUUACAUCUAGUGACCUUAACACUUAAGAAAUUUUAAAAUCCUUGCAAAAAUCUCACUCACUACAAAUAAGGGUUCGAGUCUUAGUUCAAAAAAAUUCUGGGGUGUUACAUUUACAGAAGUGCAAGGUUACAAGAGGCUUAUAUAGCAACAGUUAGACAACCUGCACAAACAAAUUAUUGAGCCUGAGUUGGUUGGUCAUCUAGGAUGUGAGAUCAAGUCUACUUCACCUCAGUUGGUUGCUGCAGCAAAUGGCAACAUGAGGGUGGACAAGAUGACCAUUGUUACCUAGUUACUCUAAGGAGAUGAAUUUACAUCUGAUUUCUUAUUGUUGCCUCUUGGAUGUUGUGGAGUAGUUUUGGGGGUCCAGUGGUUGCUCACUUUGGGAGAUAUAAAGAUGAACUUCAAGAAUCUGGCCAUGGAAUUUUGGUACAAAGGAAGGAAACAUUUACUCUGGGGAGCUGGCAACCAGGUGUUAACUGUUAGUGCUGGGAAGUUAGCAAAACAUUCAGGUAAUCAAUCUCAACUUUGUAUGAUUCAAGUAAUGCCGAUGGGAAAUGAAGAAGUAAAAGCUCAUGAGACGGUCAAUGUGAAGGACAUGAAAGGUGAUCCUAUUCUUUUAGCCUUAUUAUCUGAAUUUAACAAAUUGUUUGAAGAACCUGCUAGUUUACCACCUUCAAGAGGUGUUUUUUAUCAUAGAAUUAUGUUGAAAACUGGGACUGAACCUAUGAACAAGUGGCCUUACAGAUAUCCUUCAGUAAAAAAAGGAUUUUAUUGAGGGGUUAGUUCAACAGAUGCUAGAUCAGGGGAUCAUUCAGCCUAGUUGUAGUCCAUUUUCAUCUCCAGUUGUAUUGGUUGGAAAAAAGGAUGGGUCAUGGAGACUGUGUGUUGACUACAGGGAUUUGAAUAAAUUCACUGUGAAAAACAAGUUUCCCAUACCUAUUGUUGAGGAUCUCUUAGAUGAGUUGGGAGGAUCCAAGAUAUUUUCGAAAAUAGACCUGAGAUCUGGAUAUCACCAAUUGAGAAUGACAUCAGAUGAUGUACCUAAGACUGCUUUCAGAACUCAUUCAGGACACUAUGAAUGCCUAUUGGCCUCUUAAAUGCCCCGACUACUUUUCAAGGUCUAAUGAACUAUGUAUUUCAAAAAUAUCUCUGGAAACAUGUGCUUGUUUUCUGUGAUGAUAUCCUAAUUUACAGUAGAACUAUGGAAGAUCAUGUUAGACACUUGAGAUCUGUUUUUGUAGAGAUGGUGAAGCAUCAACUUAGCAAGUGUUUCUUUGGGGUUCAGCGAAUAGAAUACCUUGGCCAUUUUAUUACAUCUGAGGGAGUGUCUACAGAUCCACAGAAGGUUGAAGUUGUAAGGAAUUGGCCUAUACCAACCACUCUUAAACAACUAAGGGGUUAUUAGGGUUGGCUGGGUAUUACCGGAGAUUUAUCCAGGGUUUUGCAUGAUAAGAAAACCAUUGACUGACUUAACUAAGAAGAAUAGUUUCAGAUGGUCAAGUACAUCGCAGACAUCAUUUACCACACUAAAGACUGCAUUAACACAGGCCCCUGUAUUAGCAUUACCUGAUGUCACCAAGACCUUUGUGGUGGAGACAAAUGCUAGUGGAUAUGGAAUAUGAGUUGUUCUUAUGCAGGAAGGACAUCCUAUAACUUUCAUCAGUAAAGUUUUAUCCCCCCGGCAUGCUGCCCUGUCUGUGUAUGAUAGAGAACUAUUAGCCAUAGUCCAGGUUGUAACUAAGUGGUCUCAGUACCUGUUAGGACAAAAAUUCAUCAUAAGAACUGAUCAAAAGGCUCUGAAGUUUCUUAUGAAGCAGAAACUACACACAAAUUCUCAAUUGUUAUGGCUAACCAAGUUGAUGCCAUUUGACUAUGCGAUUGAAUACAAAAGAAGAGUUGAUAACAAGGUAGCCGAUGCCCUCUCUAGAGUUUCUGGUGCAGAAUUAUUGGCUUUGGUGGUGUCCCCUACUGGUACUGAUUUAUUUCAAGCUAUAGUAGAUAGCUGGUCUUCAGAUGUUGAACUUCAACAACUCAUUACAGACUUACAGACCUAUCCCACUACUCAUAAGCAGUUUACUUGGUCCCAAGGUCACCUAAGAAGAAAAGGGAAGCUUGUAAUUGGCAAGGAUCAAAGUCUUAGGACUGAGAUUAUGACAUUAUGGCAUGUCGGUUCUCAAGGAGGUCAUUCAGGUGUGGAGGCUACACUGAAAAGGCUUCUCACUUUGUUCUAUUGGAAGCACAUGAGGACUGACGUAAAAUAGUUUAUUCAAAGGUGUGAUGUUUGACAAAAAGUUAAGUCUGCUCUUGCUGCAUAUCCUGGCUUACUACAACCUCUUCUUAUUCCUGAUGUGGUUUGGUCACAAAUUAGCAUGGAUUUUAUUGAUGGAUUACCUAAAUCGAAUGGCUAUGAAGUGAUAUUGGUAGUGGUGGACAGGCUCAGUAAGUAUGGAGAUUUCAUUCCUCUUAAACAUUCUUAUACUGCUUAGUCAGUUGCUCAGGUAUUCCUUGAUAUUGUUGUUAAGCUGCAUGGCUUACCUGAGACUAUUACUAGUGAUAGGAAUGUUAUUUUCUUGAGUUCAUUCUGGCAAGGAUUAUUCACCAUCCAUGGGGUACAACUUAAUACUUCUACUGCCUAUCAUCCUCAAUCUGAUGGACAGACUGAGGUGUUAAACAUGUGUUUGGAGACAUAUUUGCGAUGCUACUGUCAUAAAGAUGCCUCUAAUUGGGUUGCUUGUUUGUCGAUGGCUGAGUAUUGGUACAAUACUUCAUACCACUCAGCCAUUCAGACCACUCCUUAUGAGGCCUUGUAUGGUCGACCACCUCUUCUCCAUUUACCUUAUCUGCCAAGGGAAUCAUCUUCAGCAGAGGUUGAUAGUACAUUAGUUAGUAGGGAACUAAAGUUACAGCUUCUUAAACAUCAUCUGAGUAGAGCUCAACUGAGGAUGAAACAACAAGUUGAUUCUCAUAGAAGUGAUCGAAAUUUUAAUGUAGGGGAUUGGGUUUACUUCAAAAUCCAACCUUACAAACAAGCCACUAUUUCCAACCAUACUUCUCAUAAGUUGGCUGCAAAGUUCUAUGGUCCAUUUUAGAUUUUAUGGAGAGUUGGUCCAGUUGCUUACACUCUCUUAUUACCUAGUUCUGUCAAAAUACACCCUACUGUCCAUGUUUCUCUCUUAAAGAAGUGUUAUGAAGUGCCUACACAUAUUUCUUAUCCUCCUACUAUUGAUUUGGCUAGUCCCCGUCCUGAACCUGAAUUAGUGUUGCAGCGAAGGAUAGUCAAGCAGGGUAGCAAGGCUGUUGCUCAAGUGUUGGUUAAGUGGCGUGGUUUUCCUACUGAAAAUGCCACUUGGGAAUUUGCUACUGUUUUAAAGACCAGGUUUCCGUUGUUUGAUCCUUGAGGACAAGGAUCUACUAUUGGGGGGAGUACUGUUACAUGAAAAAGAGGUUUCCAUAUAUUAGUUAGUGAUAAAAGUAGUUACAGUUAGUUAGUUGGGCACAUAAAUCAAAAUAAUAGAGUUAGUUAGAAUUGAAUCCAUUUCAGUUGUAUUUUCAAUUCUAUAUAAAGUGUAAUACAGUUCUAUACAAGAUAUGAAAUAUACAUAUCAAUUUUCUCUCUUCUUCUCUCUUCUUCUCUAUUCACCUCCAUUGAUUGAAUCCUCGAGUUUCUCCUGGAUUAUCUUUCGAUCCUCGAAUCUUUAGGAUUCCUGCAAUCGAGCCACUAUCUAGUAACAGAACAUUAGAUGAUUAAAACAUAUUGUUUUUCAACAUUUGAAUAUGCAUAAUUUAUUUAUUUGUAAACAUAAUAAAUAUAUUGUUUAAAAAAAUAAAAUAAUAGAAAAAAAUAUUUAUUUAAUAAAAUAAAAUCAUUAUUUGAUAUAAAUGAAACAUUUAUGUUAUUGAUAGUGAAGAUAGCUUGUGGUGAUGGUGGAUGGUGAUGAUGGUAAUGGUUGGUGUUAGUGGUUAGUAAUGGUGAUGGUGAUAGUUGUGAUAGUGGAGGUGGUUGGUGUUGUAGUGACUGUUGCGAUGUUGGCGGUAGUUAUAUAUGAUGGUGAAGUUUGUUGAUGUUUGCAGUUUAUGAUCAGUUUGAAAAUCAGAGGCGUAUCCAGGAUUUUGAAAUGAUGGGUGCACUAUUACAAAAAGGUGGAUCUAAGAUAUAAAUUUGAUCGAUUUAACAUUUAGGUUCUUAUCACUAAAAAUAAUUAAAAAUUUAAAAUAAUAGGUCCAAAGUUAUUUUUACCUAUCCAAACCACUUAGAGAGACAUUACCCAAUUUUAAAAAGAAAAAUAAAACAAGAUAACUAAAAGAUUCAAAUUUCUAACCUCACUUUGAGAGGUGCACCCAACAUAAUCGCACGGUAUAAUACUUCAAGUGUGGGUUCACAUAUCUAUAUUUAAAUAUUUUUAAAAAAUAUAACACUACUAUAUAUGAUUUCAGGAGGGGAGCCAAUGGGUUCAUGUGAACCCGGUGACCCCCUCCUGGAUACGCCUCUGAGUUUGAUGAUUGUGGUCGAAGAAUGUACGGUGGAUGACGAUGUGUUGGUGAUAGUUAGUGACAAUACUGGUUAUGAUGGUAUAGGUAUUGGUGGUAGGGAUUGAUCGCAAUAGUGAUAGUGAAGGUGGCGUCGACGGUGAUACGAUAGUGAUGACAAAAGAAUGUAUGAUGGUUAACAAUGUGUUGAUGAUAAUUGAUGGUGGUGCUAAUUAUGAUGGUGAAGUUGGUUGGUAGUAAAAAUUUACUGCAAUGGUGGCAGUAAUUGAUUGUGGUGGUGAAAUAACCAAAAACUAAUAAAGUAAAUAAAAAUACUUCUAAAAAGCUUUGUUUUAAGAGAUAACUAGUAUAUUUCUCUGUGUUUUGCGUGGUUACAAGAAAAAAUUAAAUAUAUUUUUCAAUAAUUAAUAUUAACAAAUACCCUAAUUAUAAGCAAUGUAAUAAAGAGAGAAAUAUAAAUUAAGUUAUGAUAUUGAGAUGCUAUAUUCAGAAAAACUGUUAAUGAGAUGCUCUCAAGCUGCAAUUUCAACAAUUUCAACUUAAACUGCUCAUAAAAAGGAGAAAAACACAAAAGUUAAUAUAAAAGGUUACAAUUAAUCGACCACUUAAUUAUCAUUACUUCAUAAUAAAUACAAUAAUAUUGUAGCAAUAAUAUUGGUUUAACAAAUAAUAUUAAGUUUACUUGUUCAUAAAUUAGUGGCUUUCUUCAUUUAUAAAUGUCUUUAUAAUAAAAAUAAAUAAAUAUUUUUAAGACAAUUGAGGGAGUCUGGGAGAGGAAAAUACUUAGAGUUAUAUUUCAACAUAGUUAAACAUGAAAUUUAAAAAUUAGAGAGAUAUUCUUGCUUUUUGUCUCCAAUAUUUGAUGCCCAUACUAACUACUAAGGCUCAUCUAAUAUGUAUUUGUAUCUUGUAAAAUUCAUUAAUAUUAGAGAUCUCAUAUCUAAGCUCUUAUUCUUAUACGUGUAUUUUUUAAGAGAGUAUUGCAAGAAGAAAGAAUUAAAUUGUAAUAGUGAAAUAUUAAUUAUUGUGGAGGUUAUAUUUUUGUAAUAAAAAAUUAAAAUACAUAAAGUAAAGUGAGAUGUAUAUUUUAUUAAAAUAGAAGUCAUGAUAUCAUAUAGCGACUUGACAUAAUGUUUAUCUACUUCCAUCUUAUAGAUAUUAUUAAAAAUAGUGACAGAGAAUUAAAUUUUCGAAAAAAAUACAUACAUAUAGCUUCGAAAAUGUAGAAAAGAUAUCAAGAGAUGGAUAAGUUUUUUUCUUCAAAGUAGAUAGAUAUGUUGGGGUAGGGGUGUACAUGGCUGGAUUGGUUUGGGUUUUUCAAAUAUCAAAUCAAAUUGUUUGUGUUGGAUUUUUGAAUUUAUAAACCAAAUCAAACCAAUAAAAGUCGGGUUUUUCAAUCUCGGGUUUAUUCGGAUUUUUUUGGGUUUUUCGGAUUUUCGGGUUUUUCUGGUAAAGUAUUCAUACAAACAUAUAAUUUACUUGUAUUUCAAAUAUUUCUUUAGUCCUACCAAAAUACAACUAUCUAAGGUGUUUCUUAAGAAAAUAACACAAAAUAUGAUAUGAUUAAUGACACUAAAAUAUCCAACAAAAAAAUUAUAAUGAAAUCGCGUAAAACAAAUAUUGCAAAUUAAUAAGUAAUAAUAACAAUGAUCAUAAUUUAAAAGUACUAAAUCAUGCUAAAAUAAGUUUAAUAAGUAUUAGUUACAUGACUAAAUAUUAAAGGAAUUAAAAUUAGAUUAUGUAUUUUAAUUGUCUUAACCUAUGUAAAACUAAAGAACAAAUAUUCAAUAUUAUUGUCAUUCUUAGUGUUGAAUUGAUUUUCUUUUUGCAUUAGUAUUAAUUUGAUUUUGAUUUAAGUUUUAUUAUAAUUACCAACAUCUAUGGACUAUAAUUUUUAUUGGACCAUUAAGAAUUCUAACUUUCAAACAUGAAAUAAUAUAUUAAAAGAUAAAAACUAUGAAAAAGUAUAAGAAAUAUUUAAAAAUUAUAUCAAAGUAAAUAUUUUUACGUAUAAAAUAAAAUUUUAAAGUUAUAUAUAUAAUGUCGGGUUGAUUUGGUCUCGGGUUGAUGUUUUUUAGUUGAAACCAAACCAACCCAAAUAUAGUCGGGUUUUUUUUUCUAAUACCAAACCAAGUCAAACCAAACCACUAGUCGGGUUUUUUUUCGAUUUGCGGUUUGAUUCGAUUUUUGGUUCGGUUUUGUACACCCCUAUGUUGGGGUAUCUGCAAACUUAGCCUGAAGUAGUAGGAUAUAUAUAUAUUGUUUAGAAAUAACUAAAACAGAAGGUGUCAUAAACACAUACUAUAUAAUAAAAUAAUAUUAUAAUAUAUGUUCCUUAGCUGCUUCUUUUUAUUUUAAUUAAUUAAUUAAUAUUCCUUUAUCCACAACAGCAUUCAUCACUAUACUUUAAUGUCAUUGUUUUGUUGGUACAUAUACUUGUGGUUGGCCCAAUUGUCAAAAUUCUACUAAGCUUUCUUCUCUUUGUUCUUUCUUUUACAGGCAAAAUUAAAGCUACUUCUGUUCUAAGUGCCCGCCAGACAGAUCAAUUAAGAAUCUCAACCAUAUCCCAUUGAGGGGCCAACAUUACAACUUAAAAGGUAUCACACAACUCAUGUAAAUGUUCUUUCUACGUUCAAGAUUGGACAUCUGAAUUGUACGUAAUAAUAAUAAUAUGAUACGGGACUUUGAUAUUAUCAAAACCAAAAAUCCGUAGAUAACCACAUGCAGUACAUUCUCAAUUAAUUGAAGAAACUUAACAGAGUUUAGACCAAAGUGGACUCCAAAUCACACACAAAUGACUAGUGAUCCUUAAACUAAUUAAUACUACUAGUAAAUUUUGCAUACUUGGUCAAAAUCUACUUAAUAAGACUUCAACACUUGCUAAUUAUAUACUACAUCAAAAAUGACAAUUAAUUAGCGAUAAUAACUUAAUUGCCACCAUAUAUAUAGAACGGUUGAAAUCUCAGAUUGUAUGCUUAACAAUAUAACAAUAAUAGUUUUUUUAAUGGUAAUAUAUAUUGGUAUAUAUAUAAAUUGGUGUAUAUGCAUUUUAUUAUUAAAAAUAAAAUAUUAAGUGCAUAAGUUAGUGGGUAUAAAUUGUGGUAGAAGAUGACUAUUAGUUCUUGUAACUUAUAUGAUCAUUAAUUAUUUAAACACUCAUGGUCAUUAGUUUCUUGUAACUUAUGUAACAUCUAUCACAUUUAUCUUCUACUCAUUGAUUGUAUGGAAGACUUCUUCACCUAUAAAUAGUAGUGUUUCUUCCUUUGUGAAGUGAAGUAAGAAAAAUAUUAAGUGUGAAAAAUAUUGUAAUGGAUAGUAGUGAAAGAGAGUGUUGAGACAAAGAAAAUAUUCUAAAUUUUCAACUAUAUAUAUAUAUAUAGUCGUUAAAAUAGAUUUUUGUUAUAAUGUUAAGCAUACAAUCUGAGAUUUCAACCGUACUAAUUAAGCAUACAAUCAUUCAAAUAAUUAAACCAAUCAACCAUACAAAUCUAAUUAACAAGCAAAAAGCAAAGAUGAUGGCUAUGCCCCUCUACUUAAAGUAAAAGAAGUUCAACACGUGCAUUGUUUCCUCAAUUUAACACAUCAUAUAUCAUCAGUACAUUUUUGUAUUUUGGAGGAAGUAGACAAAUCACUAAACAAUUUAUAGUGAUAAAUAAUUAGAUGCUUUUUUUUUCUUCUUUUAAGUUGAUCAGAAAUGCAUUUAGUAUAAUGCAAAAAGGAUCAAAUCAAAUAAUUCACAAGAAUUUAAAGAGUAUCAUUAGUAGAUCAGCACAAAUCUUCAAAUCUUUUGGUCGUUUAUCGUCCAUUAAAGCACGUCAACUUUAAUCAAACAUAAAUUAACCACUGACAAAGCCAUCCAUCGACUGUUAAUUUUGGAAUAAAAUCAAGAUUAUAUUUUAUGCUUAUGGUGUCUAGGUCAGCUUUCGCACACCUCGACUAAUUCCAUGGGAUACUUGUCACCUCCAGCCAGCAAUAGGUACCAGGUAACUCUGUUCACCAAGGCUAGGACAAAUGGAAAGAAUCACCUACUGUUUUUUUAUCUCCGCUGAAUUUUGAACGUGAGACUUCAGGAUUCUUAACCAUUUCAUUGACCACUAGGUCACACCCUUGGAUGCCACACAUCAAAGUUGACUAGACCAAUUAGUUUAAUACAAUCGCCAAAAAGCAUGUGACAACUUAAUUAACCCAUAAAAUUCCAUCCACAUGGCAGUUGAUCCAUUAAUAUCGAAGUGUGUUAUGAUAAAGAGUUGGUGAUAGUUCAAGUAGAAAAUACCAACACAUGAUAGUGCAGAUAUAAAAUUCACCAAAAAAAUGAUAUUUCAAGUAUGUUUUUUAUCAUUACCUUUUUUUUUUUAAAUAAAAAAUUGUUCCUUAGUUGAUAUGGGGAAAUUAAAACAUAUCUAGUUCCAUUAUCGUGCAUGAUUCUGAAAAAAGAGCAACAUACAAAACUUAGGUAAAGGAAGGGGAGGUACAAAGUUCCAUCAAAGGAGGCAAGUAACAUGAUGGUGGAAUGGUCACAAUGUCAUCAAGACAAAAUGGUAGGGCAAAUUAAUUAGUUUUCUACAAGAACAAAAUCCCAUGAAAUUGACAGACUCUGCAAGGUUGGAUCUUUAAUGUUACAACUAUACCUCUCAUAUAUAUAUAUAUAUAACUUCAAACUCAUCAACUAAUUAUAUUAUUAUGUAUUUGCAGACAAAUACAAUUUCCUCUCUUUAUACUAAAAGAUUGCUUGGUUUUUUAUCUACCCUUGUAUACGUUCCACAUUAUAAUUCAUUGGUGGGUCUGCUGAGGGAUGUUGAUUUUAUAAAAAUGGGGAGCAAAGACAAUCUUAUCUUAUUUUAUAGUCUUGGAUUUUUUUUUGGGAUUACUGGGGUUGAGUUGGCUACAUGCAUGGGCAAUUGUUUCAAAAGUUUGUCCUCAUUAAUUUGCUAGCGAAUCAUUCGAACUCAUGUAAUGGAUUCAAAAAAUAUGAUUUAGAUAUUUGACUAAAUGAACUAAUAAAAAUUCGGAUAGCAAAAAUGACUUAUUUCAAGAUCAAAUGAUUCACCUUUUGUCCUCUUGUUAAGGCCAGUGCGAACAUAUCAAAUACAAGGGAAACAUCCCACAUUACUAGCUAGAAUGUCAUCUAAAGAUUAAAUUUGUAACGUAAAAUAAAUUUUGAACCCCUUAGGCCUUAGCUAUGACAAACACUGGAAUAUUUCCUUUUAUAUCAAAGGAGAUUCAGCCGUUGUUAUAUAUUAUAUAAAAUAAAAAAGAAUAUUUUUACCUUAUUUGCACAAAAUAUACUUGUCGUCGAAGAUCAUGAUUCAAAUGAAUCCCCUUGCCUCCAUCCCAGAUCAGACCCAAUUUGUUCGCAAUCCUUAAUUCAACUUCUCAACAACCUAAUUUGCCGGUAUUUUGAAACAUUUUGAGGAUUACUAAAAAUAUUAGGAGGAAAUUUCAAAAAUGACUAUAGUUUGGGCUUAAUUAGAGAUUUAUAGCUAUAGUUUGUUGAAGGUAUAUUUUAGAAGGAGGAGAGAAGCGAGCGAGACUGGAAGAGGAAGGAAAGAGGCAGGCGAUAGAGGGGCCAAAGAGAGCCGAGAGGCGACAAAUAUGCAAUUGUAUUUGUAUAUCUGAUGGCUAAUUAUAUACAUAUAACCAGUAUGUAUAUGCAUUAACUCACAAUUGUAUAAUUGUAUAUGAUCAUACAAAUAGCCUAUGAUCGAUAAUUGUAUAUCAUUGAUACAAAUCAUUUGUAUCAAGUGUAUUAAUGAAUACAAUUUAUCAACAAAUACAAUUGUAUCAAUGUUAUAUCAAGUUUAAGUGUAUUAACAAAAUAUAAUUUGUAUCAACGAAUACAAUUGUGUAUUUGUAUUUGUUGCCGUGUGUGUUUGCAUUUAUUUGCUACCAUUUGUUACCUUGAAAAAGUUACCAUUUGUAUCAUUGAAAUAUAUCAUUUGUAUUUUGAAUCGUAGACAAGACAAGGAUCUGUAUCAUUGAAAUAUCUCAUUUGUAUUUUGCACCACUAAAAAGUAUAAGUACAGUUUACAGUUAUCAUUUGUAUUUGUAUCAAUGAUUCUUGAUAUUGGCAUUUGUAUCAUAGAUUGUUACCAGUGCAUUUGUAUUGUAGAGAGAGGAGGCAAGCAAGAGAGAGGAGAGAAGCGAGCAAGAGAGGGUAGAGAGAGGAGAGAGACGAGUGAGAGUGCAGAAAGAGGAGAGAAAAAAUUGCUAUAAAAUCCUAACUAUAGCUACAAAUUAUAAUUAAUCACAUAUUUAUCUUACUACGUAAAUUUUCCAAAAUAUUCCAAUAUACAAAUCCAAUUGAACUUUCUUAAUGCUUACUACGCAACUUUAAAAAUAACAACAUAUUCAGUUAAUUUCACGAGUAAAAUAUAAAAGAACAAUAUCAAAUAUGUAUAUAUAUCUUAUUCCUACCUUAAUAUUUUCAAAUUCCAAUAGACCCUCAACUAAAAAAAUAACAAUUAUAUUUAUGCAAUUUUAAUUUAGUUAAAUUCUUGCACAGUUUUAGAGAUAUCAAAGAUGCUCAACAUUAUAAUUAUAGGUGUUCUGAAAUAUUAUCAAAUCUAUCAAAGUAAUGCAGAGGGUCCACGAGAUCAUGAAUAACUUUUUUCUACCAUCAUUAUAUUCACAAAUCACCGGUAACAAUCACUAAUUAAUCAUCUUUAAUAUCACCAUCACUAUCACUAUUUUUAAAAACAAGCAGUUAAGAUUAAGAAAGGACUGCUUUAAAGGUAUAAACAUUAAUAACUAAAAACAAGCGGUUACACCCCCAAUGGGUUUAAUUAGAAAAGUACACAAUUAAAUAUAUAAUACAUUCUUAGAUUAUGUAUACAUAUUAUAAAUAUUUAUUUAUUUUUAAAAAAGUUGUUGGUGCACUACACCCUCAUAGCAUCAUAUGAGUCCACCUCUGCCUCACUACCACACUUAAUAUCUCCAUCAUUAAUUAUAAUUAUACUAGUAUUUAAAGAUGUGCUUUGCACGUAUAUCCUAUAUUUAUUGUAUGCAAGGACGGCUUUACAUGAAAAAUGUGGGGCAUGUGAAUUCUCUAUGUAAAAUAAUGUUUUUAUGUAUACAUUUUCUCUCAAAUUAAUAUAAUAAUAUAUGUUGACAUCAUACUAUAAAAUGGCUAAAUGGUGCACUUGAUUGAAUAUUGAGUUAUUUACCUAAAAGACUAGCGAUCAAUUCUCACUAAAUGUAUUAUUUUCCUUCUCUUUUUUGUGGUGCUAUAGAAACCAUUGAACAUACCUUUCUGGAAUGUUACAUGGUUAGACAAUUCUGGUUUGAGAUGGGACUCAUAUUGCCAACACUCAAACUCACUGGCUGCAAAAUGUUCAUGAUCUUAAUGUCCCUAUUCAUCAAUCGCCUUUACAUUGGAUAGAUUUAUUCCCUUUCGCCCUUUGGCAUAUCUGGCUACAACGAAAUCAACAAGUUUUUCAAAAUAAUGCUAAUCCCCCUCAUAUAUUAUCCCUUCCCAUGAGCCACUGAAUUCAAAUACAUGACUGAUUCUUCUAUAACCUCCCUAAACAGAAAAUCCUCUGGUUUUCUCCGACCACUAAUGCCUUUAAGCUGAAUAUCGAUAGAGCUUUCUAUAAAGAUAACCAGAUGGGGGGAGUAAUCAGAGACUCCCAUGGUAAUUGGGUGGUUGGUUUCAGGAAAAAAAUAUAUGCUCUCACUCAUGUUAUGGCGCUCUUGAAACAAGUUUACAACUUGCUCUUGACAGGUGCAUCAUUCCCAUUGAAGUGGAAACUGACUCCAAAUUUUUACACCAUACGCAACCUAUUUAUCAAAGGUUUCUAUUGAGGAGGUUUGGGGAAUCCAGUACUACGCCAUAACUUCCGACAGGGGAAUAAGUUAGCAGACUUUUUGGCUAAGGAAGGAAGCAGGCUAAAUACUACUACUGAAACUGCUAUCCUUGAAACCACUCCACCAGGUGCUACACCUAUUUUGCAAGCUGAUAAAGACGGAGUGGUAACUAUUUGUAUCUACCUCUACUAAACUAGCAAUGUUUGGGAAUCAAAAUGUUCUUAGUAACGAUGCAAUGUUACUACUUUAGAUGAUAGAGAUGCUACUAUAUCUACUAAAUAAUGCUGUAAUGUUCUAAUUUAUAUAUAUAAAUUAUCUCCGUUUCUACCAAAAAAUAUUGUUUUUUAUGAAAUUUUAGAUAUCUUAUAUGUUUUCAUCAAAAUUUAUUUAUAAUUUAAUGAUGUUUAAGUAAAUAAACAAAAAAAACUUAAUAGUCCCUAAAGUUGACCUAAUCAUCCCAGAUUUACUUGAAGAACAAUCCCUACUAUCAACCAAUAUCCCAAUUAAUUAGCAUUGUCGUUCUUACCACGAAUACCAUCGUCAAUCACCUCACCACACAUGAUCUUCAGCCAUUACCAUCAACUGUCAACUAUUAAUAUCAACCAACUCCAUCACAACAAUCAUAAUCAAUUGUUAUCAUCACACCAGUUAAAGGUGUACAUGGAUCGAAUUGGUUUAAAAUUUUCAAAUAUCAAAUUAAAUUAUUUGUGUCGAACCUUUAAUCUAUAAAACAAAUCGAUAAGAUGGAGUUGCUCGGAUGGUGAGUAUCCCUCACUUCCAAUCCGAAGAUUGUGAGGUUGAAGCUCAAAAUACUUGUGAGAUGCAAUUAGGGGCAAAUAUAGGUGGGGUAGCAAUUAGGGGCAAGUAUGGUUAAUUGUGAGAUGGCAUCAAAUAGUAUACAGUCCUUUCCAUUCAAAAACACACUUAAAGCUUUAUGACAAUCAACUAGCUUUUAUUGGUUAUAUAAAGAUUACAUUAUUUUAUGCUUGUAAACAGCCUUUGAUUAUUUUUGAGAUGACAUCAAAUACUUCACACAGUCCUCUCCAUUAAUAAAAUAUAAUCCAUAAGUAAAGCAUAUAUAUUUUCCUCAAUUGGUUAAAAACUCCCCUCAUCUAAAAGCUUGCUCCUUACUAGAAAAGCAUAAGACAUUAGGGGUCCAGAAGAGGAGAUAUCCGAGGAGACACAAUAACUCAUGAACUAGCUAGUUCAUGUGCUUUAGUGCAUGCUGUGCCAUGAUAUCACUUAGACAUGUUGGAUUAGAAAUAGUUUUGUCUUAAGAGAUUUAGAGUUCAUAAAAGACAAAAAUAAUGUUGAAACAUUUGUAAGAGGGGGUGGUUAUAGCUCUUUCUUGUCCAAGUUGUACAUUGAUGUUUGAUGUUUGAUGAUGGUAGGGACCUUAACAUUGGAAGAGAAUAUGAUAGUGGAAUUACAAUAUACACAAGAAAGAACAGUUGAAUUGACCCUCUUCCAUUACAAGUGCUGCUGGAUUUAUCCCCAAGAAAAUCCAAAGAAAGUUGCAACCAGCAUGACCUAGCCAAUAGCCAUGUUCUUUUAGGAGGAAGUUUGGAGGCAUUAGGCUGAGAUGGGACAUCGUGGAGCUGAUGGGACAAUGUCGUCAAGAACCAAUUUCACUACAAGAGGUGAAUCCAGGAUUUGAAAAUGAUCACGAUACCACCAGAGGUGGAUGCAUGCACAUUAAUCGAAGUGGUGUCACAUACUUUAUCAAACAUACAUAGUCAAGGAUCGAUAAACUUUAUUAAACAAAUUCAUUCAGUGCCUCCAAUUAAAUUUUGUGUUUAAGGGUGUCUAACCAAAUAUAUGAUCGUUUUUCAACGUAUAUAUACAUACUCCCUCCGUCCCAUUUUAUGUGAGGUAGUUUGACUCGGCACGGAGUUUAAGAAAGAAAGGAAGACUUUUAAAACUUGUGGUCCAAAAUGAAUGAUAGAAAUUUGUGUGGCUGUAAAUCAUUUCAUUAAGGGUAAAAUAGACAUUUUAUAGUGAAAUUGUUACUUAAUAUAGAAAUGUGUCAUUCUUUUUGGGAUUGACUAAAAAGGAAAGUAGGUCACAUAAAUUGGGACAGAGGGAGUAUUUUUUUUCAAAGUUAACGGCCCUUUUCAUCCAUGUAGGUCCGCCUCUGCCUCUAACCAAUUGGUUAUAAUACUGGUACAUCAUUAGUAUAUAUAAGUUAAAUCUAAAAAACUAAAAAUUAAAUAAGGAGAAGGCUAAAUCCUAGACUUGAAGCAAAUGACUACAUCCAAUUACGCAAAGUUUUGGAUUCACCAGUCAAGCAUAUUAAGAAUCCGGAGUCACUCGUUUUUGGACAUAACCUAAACAGGCAAAUUGCUCGUAACCCAACAACAUACCCAAAAUACAUAUAUUAUUAGUUGUGUAAAAAAAAAAAACAUACCCAAAAGGAAACUGGAAAAUAUGUUCUAUUCUUAACUCCUAUAUUUAUGCACUCAAACGGGACUAAAUAUGCUUCAGAUAAUUUCACUCUUCUUAAGCUAUCUGAAGCAUAUUUAACUCGAUUUUAAGAUACCAAUCAUGUAUGUUUGAAUAGAAAGGGUUGUAUUGACAUUGUAUAAACUAAAAGGGGACGUUUGGUAGAUGGUUUGUAGGUGAGUUAUGCAGGUAUUAAAUUCUUCAUAAGUAAUAGAGAUCUAAGUAAUAUCACAUUUGGUAGCUAAUACAUGCAUCAUGCAUAACUCUUACCAGCUACCAAACGACCCCAAGUGCUUAGCACCUAUAACUUUUUAAGGUGGAGGGCAAAUCCGAUAACCCACUUUGGCUGAACCAUGUAUGUCAUUGAUUCUACCACAUUAAGCUCAACAUUCUCUAAGGUAAAGUCAUAUAAUCAAAUUCAUCACUUGCAAGUUGAUCCAAAUGAGCCUACUAGCCAAACACACAUUAUAAGCUGUAAAUAUUCACCUUUUUGGAUAACUUUCCAACCUUCCCUGACAAGUUUACAGUGAUCUAUUGGAGGUAAAUCCAGUCACAAGAUUCCCCAUCAAUCCAGAAUAUGAACAAUGACAUCCGCAUUUUUCCAUAUUGCAUCCUUUUCUGGAACUAGCCGUAGCUAAAACUAGCUCUGGAAUCUUGUACGCCAUAUGGAGCCAAGAUUUCAAUCAAGAAAACCUCUCUUCGACUCAACGUUUGCUUACUAAUUUUGAUCCUCUCUUGGAUCAACUUUUUCACGUUUGGUAGGUCCUUUUACCUUGAAGAAGCAAUUCAUCAAGCUGUUUGGAGGACAAGUUUGACUACUUAUCCCCAGACAAGCUUCAAUUUUGUACCAUUUUGAGUUACCUCAUCAGUGAACUAGCUCCGCAGUACAACAUAUAAUUAAUAUAUCAUAGGAAACUCCAUCGAGCACCUCAUUUCAUCAUGACCGAUCCUUAUUCUAUUUACAAUAACAUAUACAGCAUAGUUCCACUCCACAAGUGAGGUCUGGGGAGGGUAGAGUGUACACAAACUUUACCUCUACCUUAUCAGGUAGAGAGGUUUCCCAAAAGACCCUCGGCUCAAAGAAAGCAUCGAGGUUAGAGAGGAAGGGCAAGCUACAAUAGUAAGAUAGAUUCAACCUUAACAUUAAUGCGAUAUUACAUGGCUACCUUAAGCAAAGGUCCCAUGCCGCUAUGGAUUUAAGGAAAUGCUGGCAUAACAGUAUGUUAUUCAUGAUGUUUAUAAGCUGAGACAUUCUAUCAAAUUAACUACCACAAUAGCAAAAUUGAUUAAAUAAGUCCUCCCUAUAUAAUUUUUCUUUUAAGAGAAAAGGAAGCCAUUGUUUAUGGGAAAUGCUUAUAGAUAUAGGAUGAUUAACCUUUCGAAGCGUGGUCUUCAAAAAUGCACAAUAACGCCAGGGAACAGAUUUUAGUAUAUAAACUAUGAAGAUGAAGAUCAGAAAUACAGAUGCCCAAAAAUCUCACAGGAACCAUCUGAAAUAGACUAAUCAAUAUAGAAGGAACUCGAGUGAUCCCACAUAGAUUCCAUCACCAACAGCCAGUACGAGGCAUGGGAACUGUCAUAUAUUCUGGAAUAAAAUGUCUAGAGCAGGUAUCUCACUUAUUACAAAUUUAACAAAACUUCUAGGAAGAAAUAAAAAUUCUAGGUGCUGCAGCUUUCUAUUGAUUAAAUACUCCAAUCAUACGUUCUAAAAUCAUCAGAUGAUUAUACAUAAUUUACAUGAUUUUAAUUUUGGUCCUCAGAAGACUAUAGCCACAUGCAAGCCAAAUGAGGAUGAACCAUGCAUCACGUAAAAUUCAGGAAGAAAGGAAGUGCCCAACCUAGCAACUGUCACAAGAAGGCUUCCGCUAUGCAAUUGUAGUUGCAGAUAUCUAUGCCCUUAUGUGAUGACAGUAGGCUUUUCUCUUCCGGUGAAGUCCUUUAGCUUUGAUACAGAAAGAGCGAGAUCUGCAAAAGAUAUCUAGAUA